GUUGAUGGACUUACAAAUGAUGAAGUUAAAAGCCAUUUACAGGUUUGUAAUUGUUCUAUACUGAUUUAACUCAUUAACUACUAGAUUUAGGGUAGCAUAUCUAGCUAAUGAUCUGUUUGUUUGUUUCAGAAAUAUAGAUUGCACACAAGGAGACCAUGCCCUAGUAUCAACAGCAAUGGCAACAACCCACAAACACCUCAAUUUGUGGUGGUUAGAGGAAUAUGGGUGCCUCCACAAGAAUAUGCCUCGGUGGCUACAACCGCAGCAGUAUCAGGGGAAACCAGUGUGACUCCGAGUCCGAACAGCGGAGUCUAUGCUCCGGUGGCCGUCCCGUUGCCGACGCUAGCUAAACCAUCAGUGCAAAGACCGCAACGAUCACAAUCUGAAGAUAGAGGUAGUCAUAGUGAAGGGAGAGUUCACUCAAAUUCACCAUCAACAUCUUCCUCUACUCAUACCACAACAGAUCGGUUCCUUGCGUUUUAGUUAUCUUGCUGUACAUUUUUUUCAUUUUUACCUGUAGUAGAAAUUCUAUAUGAAAAUAACCGAGUUUUUGGCCCUUUUUUUUUUACAUCUUCUUGCGCUUUGUUCAGUGUAUAUCAGCCUUGUUUAAUAAAAGCAGAGCAUCCUUUUGGGUAAAUUACUCACUCAACUUUUUAAGUCUCAAUAUUUAUAUAUUAGAUUAAUUUAUUUUUAAUUUUAAAAAAUUUAACUCUCAAUUUUACAUUUUGUGCAGUUUAAUAUUUUUUUAAUUUUACUUUUUUUUUUACCCUUUCACCUAAAUUUUUUUAAGAAAAUCCACUCAACUAAAUUGAUAGGAAAUAUAUACAAAAUAGGAAUAUCCAAAAAUCUAAUAUAAUAAUUUAUAUAUUCUCUAGUUCUAUUAAAAUUAACCCUGAAUAUCACAAAUAAAAAUAAAAUUGUAAAAAGAAAAAUUUAAAUUAUGUAAUAUGUAAAUGUUCAUGGUUAAUUUUUAUGUGUAGAAUUAAGAUUAAAUUGGCACAAUAUAUCAAUGUUAAGGGUUAAAAUUAUUAUUAUAUCAAUUUUAAAAACUGUCAAGUUAUCUAUUUAUCCAUGACCAUAAAAGAAAAUUCUUGAAAAAAAAAACUAAAAAAUAGAUGACCACCAAUACCAAUAUAAUAAGUUUCCAAUGUGUAUUCCAAAAAUAUAUAUUGAGAGUGAAAAUAAGGGUAAACAAAAGGUAUGGUGUUUAUAAUAAGGAGAGGCGUGCAUGCAUAGGAGUUGGGGGAAUAUUCUGGUUCUUGAAGAAUAAAAUUGAGCAAUGAAACGGAUUGAUGUAUUAGUUAUUGUUUAGAAUACAAAUUGAGAUGUUGUCGUAUCAUAAUUGUCCAAAAUAUAUUCCAUAUUAGUUUAAGUUAUCUUGAAGGAGAGGCCAGAAGGGGGCAUCUAUCUAAGUAUCUAUACAACAUAUAUAUUUGAUCCUAAGAAUCUUGGGAUCGAUCCAGGAUUUGUUUUGUUUAAUAUCUUACUUUGUUUCCUAAUCAAUAACUUCAGCGUCUCUUGGUUGAAUGUAAAGGCCAAAUGACCCUUUCCAUCCCCAUAAAACUGGUCACAUUUAAUUAUUAAAUGAAGCACCAAAAAGGGUCAUUUCUUGGUUCCUUGUUUCUUGAUGACAGAAUAUUCGGGACACCAAACUUGUUAGUUCCAAAAAUAAAUAACCAAUCACAUUUUGUUUCUUUCGACCGAGUUCUUGCUUACCCUUUUUAUCUUUUAUUUCUAGGGGCUUACCAAGUGCAAAUGCCCCAUAACCUAACAUGCAAUGCUAAUAGUAUCCCCCUAUUCCACAAAAACAGGACCUUAUAAGGCUUGCUCUUUCUCUCUGCCUUGUUUUUCAGAUGAUAAUAAGGUUUCGCAUUCACAAUCAAUAAUAAUUAACCAUCAAUUUAUUCAAAAUUUGCUUUGCUUUGAUUACUUGUAAUAAAAAAAUCAUUUAUCAUAUAUGUAUUAUAAUAAUUAAAUAUAAACUAAAAAGUAUAUACUACAAAUUUAAACUUGAAAUUAAAAAGUUAAGAAAUAACUUUUGUAGAAAAAUAAUACUUCUUCAAGAUAAGCGAAAAUUAUUCUUUUUCUUUGCUAAAAAUAAAUCAUGGGAGGAACUAAAUACUACCCAUUGAAUUAGUUUAUUGCUAACCUAUGUGUAAAAAAUAAUACUCCAUAAUAUUAAUGUUUAAAUAAUACUCCAUAAUAUUAAUGUUUACACAUUUUUUUAAUUUGAUAUUAAUUUUAAAUUUGUCAACAUCCGAUAAAGACUAAAUUUAUUAAAAUUUAUAAAAUUAAAAACCAAAUUGACAAACUGUUUAAACAUUGAAAGUUAUAUUUAUUAUUGUAACGAUAUUAUUAUUUUCAUCAUGAUAAUUUUAACUUUUACUCACGAUAAUUUCAAUGUAAUAUCUGUGAUUCUACCAUUGAUAUGAAUUGUUUACAAAUACUUCCUCAAAAUUUGAUCUCAAACACAAAUUUGAAAUGAAAUUUAUAAGUGAGCGGUCUUCAAAUUUAAAUUGAUUUUAGUGCAAAAAUCGAACCAUUUUUUUGCAUUUGUGCCCUACAAUUAGAGGUGUUCAUGGGUCGAGCUGAGUUUGGGCGGGCCUAACCAAAAUUUUAGGACCGUUUGCUAGGCCCAGCUUGGCCUGAAAAACAGACCUAAAUUUUUGUUCAAAUUCUGCUUGGAUAAAACUACUAAAACCCGGACCCGGUCCAUAUUAAUUUUUUUAUAUAAUUUUUUAAAAAAUAUAAUACAUAAAAAAUACUAAAAAUAUUAAAAUAAAUGUUUCCCAACAAAUUGAAAAUAAAAUUUUAAAAAUAUGUAUACUUAAAUAACAUUAAAAUAGGUGAAACUUAACAAGCAAAUACCUCAAAAAUAGUAGCAACAUAAUAGUGAAAUGGUAGCAAAAUAGUGAAAAAAAAAACAAGAAAAAAAACAAGCAAACAAUAAUAAAAAACAAGAAAACAGUAGAAAAAACAAUUUUUUUUUGCAUAUUAGGGUUGGGUUCGGGCCAAAAAAGCCUUAUCCAAGGCCUGACCCAUUUUUUAAACGUGCCUUUUUUUUUGCCUAAGUCCAUUUUUUGGGCCUAUAUUUUUAUCCAAACCCACUCAUUUUUCGGACAGACCUCCGACAUGGCCCAUGAACAAGUCUACCAACAACAAGAAGAAAAAUAAACAAAUAAAUAAAACUGACAUUAAUUAGCCACGUGGGAGGGAGGCCAUUAACAUGGCAAAUUGAUGACCGGUUUCCACAAAUGCAUAUUUUUUUAGUGUAAAUUUAGAUUUGUUUAUAGGCCGAGUUGAGCUCAACUAAAAUUUUAGACUUAAAUCUGGUCCAAAAAACGAGCUUAAAUUUUUGUCUAAACUUGAUCUAAAUUAUAAAUACUAAACUCAGACCAAACCCGACCAACCUAUAUUAAAAGUUUGCUAAGUGACUUUCAAGGAAUUACUAGUGUUUUGCUAAGUGACUCUGUUGGUACUAGUCUGAAGUAGACUUUGAUCUAUACAUCUAUGAUAAUCCAUCUCUCUAGUUUACUUUAUUUUACCCUAAAAAAGAACUAAUGCCAAAAUUUUAUGUUUCUUACAUGUUCUCAACACCAAAAAUGAAGCCCAACCUUCACUUACUAAACCAUAACCUGACAUGCUUUCAAAGAGAAAGUGAAAUAUCACAGGGAAAAUGUCUGUAACACAUUAAGUUAUUUGGAAUCUUCAUAGUAAAUAAAUGGGUAAAUGUAGACAAAAAUCAUAUUGAUUUUAAGUGGUUUAAAACCUAAAUUCAUUCGCUUAUUUUCACAACUAUGUCCUAGCUAGCUCCUGGAAGACAAUCAACUAACUAUAAAGAAAACAUAAGACAGAAAUCAAUCAUUGCUUGGUAUGGUUAUCAACUCUUGUCCAAUUAAUGAACUUUAAUUACAUUAUACAUGCAUAAAAGGAUAGAGUUUGUUCAAAAAACAAAUUAGAAAAGAUAGCGUAAAGGAAAAGCUUGUGGCAGAAGGGGAAAAAAUUGAGUAGUUUCUUCUCUUUUUAUUUCAUUUGGUUGAUAAACAGAACCAGUUCCCUGUUCAACUGAUAUAGUGAAUUGAUUGCCAAUUGCCAAGUACAAAUAACAUACAUAGUCUUUCUCUAUCUUAAAACUCAAAAUAUAUGAACUGUGAAAGCAACAGUAGAAGUAUGGUGCAUAUAAACCGAGCAGACUAGUGGGAUAGCGAUGGUUGGAGCGAAGAAGGCGAUAGAGAAAGCAGCAAUGGUAAAUGCUAGUGACAGAGGAAGCAACAAGAAGAUGAACGGCGCAAUUCGCAACACUAAUGGGCUAAAGUGGGACAAUAUAAUGGUGAUGGGUGCUGACAAUAGAGGGAGCAGGAGUCGAAGUGGAUGCCGAAGUGGUGAGCGAGAGACGAAUGGGCAACGACGUUGGAGGUGAUUGGUAAAGGUGGUGAGCGGCACAUAGGGGUUUUGUUUUUAGGAACUGAUAGUGAUUAGGGAUUUGGAAUAUGGGGAAUUAGGGAUUGGGAAUAAGUUAAAAAUUUUAGUUUAAAAUUUUAGGCCGAGCCGGGGCUGAGAGGAAAAAAUUUUGCUCGACCUGUUUAGAAACAUGGGUCUUAUUCUUAAGCCCAAACCUAUUUUUCGGGAUUAUAUUUUUGUCCAAACCCUUUCACACUUUAGGUGGAUCUUCUGACCCAUGAACAGGUCUAUUUAAAUCCAACUAGAAUUUGGUUUUCUAAAUACAAUUAGAAAUUAUUUCCUACUUCUAGUAAAAGUAUUGCUAACCAAUUUAUAAAUACUCAUUUUGGCUCUUUUAGAUUAAGUUUGCUAACCAAAGCAACUUUAAAGUUUGGACUAGACAAUUUUAGUUUUUAUUUACGUCCCUUACAUCAUCACUAUAUAUAUAUAUAUUACAUUUUUAAACUCAUUAUGGUGCUCUUCAAAGAUCACAAAGAAUAUUUAGUCAUACUUUUCCCAAAAAAAAUUAGAGCAUUAAACAAGGUCGCAUUUCGUUAUUGGCAAACCUAUAUCUAGUAGGUACAGACUGUCAUGAAUCUCAUUCGACUUCCCGAUUUCUUUGAAAGGUUGGUUCAUGAAACUUUCUAAAUCAAUAUUGAAUUUUCCAAACGUAAGGAGUUUCCGAUUAAAUCUCCAUACUGAAAGUACCGCGAGUGAAAAUUUAGUCACACUAAGAAGCCAAAUUAUAUUUGUGGAAGCUUGUUGGGGAACCGACUUUAAGAUUUCUAGAGACAUCAACUAUAUAGAUAGAGAUAUUGGAAUUGGGCCAAAAACGUGCUAUAUCAUUUUUCUAAUACUUUGACAAUGAAUGAAGUAUAUAAUGUUGUGUAUGCGUCCUUGUACAUUUAUGAUUAUAAGAAGGACAUUAUUUGUGUUUUUUACGAGGCUUGAUGUCCAUCAACUAACACUAUUCAUCUUACCACCGAUAAGGCUUCUAUCUCAUUAAGGGAUCUUUACAAACUAGGUAUACUACCUCUUCAAGGCACCUUUUACGAUGAAGUUAUCUCAUGUGCUGCUGAAUUAAUUGUAGUUGAUUUCGUGGGAUGGUACCUUUCAUGAUGUUGAGUAUCUGUUUGUUGCUUAUCACUCAUUAAAGUAACCUAAGGAGGACUAAGUUUCCAUUGCUUCUUAAAUUAAUUUUUGGUUUAAAGAAGCUUCCCGUUAUACCAAGUUGUCGACUCGAAAGUUAAAAAAGUCUACUCGUUCCACAAAAACACACAACUCCACGGGAAUUCUUUACAAGCAUCAAGACCACGGAGUGGUUGGGAGUGCUAUAUGUACUGUCCUUGGAGUUAGAGAAAAUAAAAAAACAGGAAACUUACUUGGCAGCCUUCUUCUCUUGAUGGAUUUGUGCUUGACAGCGACCUCCCUCGUUGCCCUCGCGAACAACGAGAGAGAUGAAUCAACAAUUAAAGACAUCAAUCGAAUAACACUAAUAGGUGUGAUGUCUGCAAGUGUGAUAUGUCAGUUGUAAUAUAUUUAUACAAUGAGAUACGGGAGUAAUUUGAGGAUCGAACCGAAGAGAGUCAUAGAUUGAACAAUUUCUACUAAUGAGCAUGCAAAAUAGAGAGUCUAACAAACUAAUCGCUGAAAAUUAUAUUACGGCAAAACAUAGAGUCAAAAAUGACUAAACUAAUCUACGACCUAGCUACCAAUGACCAAAUUGUAAAAAGUGCAAAUCUUUUGAAUCAACAAAUAAAUAACAAACGGUGGUUGAUUGAUUUUGAUGUGUUUUAUCAAUCUUCGAAUUAGGGAUCCAAAUUGUUUAAAUUCCUAAAAUGGCUCCAUUUUACCUUUUAGUCUCAGUUUUAUCAAGUUAGACAAGUUAAUUCGGAUUAUCUCUCGAUAUCAUCGGCUAACCUGGGACUAAUGAAUCGAUGCUCAACAAGAUCUCCUCUCGGUCUCUCUUGCCUAGAUAUUCCCUUAAUCCUAAGUUUUUAUGUCCAUUCAAAUUUGUCCAAUUUAUUAAGAUUUAGUCCCUCAUCUAAAAAUCAGUUCACCACAUCUCUAUCAACUAAUCCCCUUAAAAGUUUAAUCACCUAUAUGAAAAAUAAAGCUAAUGAACAUGAAAGAAGAAACCAUUGCAGCCAUGGAAACAAAUAUUAAGAAAAAGAUUAAAUUUUGGAUUUUUAAGGUAUAAAACUUGAAGAAAAGAUGAAAAUGAUAAACUAGCAGUAAAAUAAAGCACAAUAAACAUUAAAGGUAAGGUUUUUAACAAUUGAAAGUAAAAGAAACUGGAAUAGCAUUAAACAAAGAGUAAAAUGUCACUACAAGUAAAAGAGAUGGACUAAAAGUGGAAAUAAACCUAAGCUACUGUAUUAACUAACUUAACUAAAUAUGCAAGUAACAAGAACAAGAAGAAAAAUGCAAAAAAAUAACUUCUACAGCUAUGAAAGAUGAUGAAAAAUAAAAACCUUAAAAAGUAAAAGAGAAAACUAAGAGAAAACGUAAGGAAACUAAAGCUAAAACUACUCUAUGUGUGACCUCCUAUCUCCUCAGCCAAUUUUGGUUGAUUUUAGCAAUAUUCUGACCCAAUAUUUGUGACUAGAAUGCCCUUGUACGAGCUUCUUUUGAUUAGUGCUUUUGUUGGACAAGCAUUGUCCCUGAUGUCAUUUUUUAUCCCUUGACAACAAUGAUAUUCAAAACUGAGGGUUGGGUAUCGCGAUAACGUUGUUAGUCUUGAAAUGGGGGCACUUCUUGUCACUUAGAUAUUGCAAUACCCUAAGGAGAUAUUACGAUACCACUGGUUGAUGUCUUGGUCCUGGGACUGGUGAGGGUUUCGCAAUUCUAGAGUCUUGAUAUCAUGAUACCCUUACCUUGUUAAAUUUUUCGCAUGACAUCGAAGCUCUAACAAGUACCUACAACACUUCAACGAAUGUUACAUCACCAAAUGAAACGAUUGGCCAAUUUGGGUCUCAAAAAUAAGUAAAAAGAGACAAUUUCACUUAUUAAAUCAAAAACCUAAAAACUAUGUAAAAGACACUACUUUGCUUGAAAACAAGCUCCUCAAAUAUACCGAGAAAGCUUAAUUUUCCAUAUCAAGUUACGACAGAUCAAACUCCCUUACACCUAACUCUUUUCUUGUCUUCAAGCAAACACACCAAACAUACAAAAAGAAAGAUGACCCUUGGACUAAAUCAGAUAAUUAGGUUAUAUGGUGGUAAAAUAUCAAACUUGUACGAGAACUAUCUCACAUGCAACUUAAGAGUGAUAUCUAGACAACUCGGGCAUUUUUAAUGCAAACACAAUUAGUUCAAGAAGUUAAAGUGUUAAUAGAUAUAGAGGCAAUGAAAAUGAAUAAAUGUAUAAGUAUUAUCCAUCAAAAUGAAUUAUGUGGAUUGCUCAUAGAUAUUUAAAAAGAAUUAGUCAUGUUCAUUCAAACAAAUACAAGAAAUCCCCUAGAGUGAUGAAAAUUCAUACUUUAUAAAAAUAAUUAAGAUGCAUAAAAAUAAAGAUGAAAAACUAAUUUGUAGAUUUGAUCAAUUCUAUGAAUAGAAGAUUAACUCACUUCAGUGGUCAUAACUAGCUCUUAUUUCGGGUUCUAUUCAAUCAACUAGUCAUUAACCUAAUAGGAUCUCUCGAUCUUCCACUAAACUAAUGAGUUGGUAAGAACUACUUAUCUCUCGACCUUACAGUCUAGAUCAGAUUGGGGUAAGGUGUUCACAGAUAGGAAAUACCAAUUUUGGGUUCAUUCCUACCUAGAUGACUUCCUAGGGUUGUUAAGCCUAGUGAUUUUAUAUUCUUUUAGUAUAGAACGUUACUCUAUGUCUAGAGACUACUACAAGUAUUUAGUCGAAUACUUGCUCUAUCAUUCAAUUUCGGUCUAACUAAGCUAACCUUGUCAGUAUUAGAUUAAUUUCAUAAACAUGCUGCACAUUCAUCUAUAUCUAGAGAUUAUAUGCAUGUAAUUCAUAAAUACCAUCGAAUGAAACUAUAAAUUAAAACUAAUCUAGGCUUUAUUCAUUAAAGGAAAUAAAGGUUUCAUCAAGCAAUCCCAACCCUAUGAGAUUAACUCAUGGGUUGGCAAAUAACAUUCAAAUUUAGAAUAGCAUUCAAUGUGACAUAGAUGAAUGUGCAGCAUGUCUAUGAAAUUAAUCUAAUACUGACAAGGUUAGGUUAGUUAAAUCAAAAUUGAAUGAUAUGAGCAAGUAUUCGACCGGAUACUUGUACCAGUCUCUAGACAUAGAGCAGUGUUCCAUACGAAAAGUAAACAAAACAAUGCUAGGUACCGUGCUAAAGACCUAUAGACAUAUAUCACUUUAGGCAAGGUAACUUGAGGUCUUGCUCUUGAAAGUUCCAGACCAUUUUAAAUAUCUUUCGAGUAAUCCCAACCUUCCAAUUCAACAUCAUAGAUUCUUUAAGCUUUACCAUAACAUCUCUAUUUUCGCAUCCCUAAUUGUUUACUUGUUUGUUUUGCACAUGUUAUACAACAUUAUUCUCCUUAAUUGCCACUGCACUAUUAUUGUUUUUGCCUUAGCAUUAAUUUCACUUUACUAUAAUAACCUAACCAUAUUAUUCCUAUUCAAUCCCUAUGGAGAAGAUCUCACUUAUCACUUUAUUACUUGAUCCGACGUGUAUACUUGCACAAUUAGCAUAUCAUAUUCACACGCGACAAGUUUUUUAAGCCGUUGCCAAGAUAAAAAAAUUUGGUGAAAUUUGGUUUUUUUAUUUUACUAAUUCUAGUAGUUUAGUUUUAGUUAAGUUAGUUAUAUUUAAUUUUUAUAAGUUUGUUAUCAAUGCAUGAAUAAAGGCAUUCCUGCUAACGAAAGUAUCCUUUUGACCCUGAGAUCGAGAGAACUUUAUGAAGAAGGAGAAGAGAAGUGCGUAACAUGGCUAGGAAUAAGAAUGAUCCUGGUUUGAAUGAUCCAUUAAAUCCAAAUGGUCAUGAUGUUGAUUUUCCUAUUCAUCGUGUGAUACAUGACCGAGACAGGCCAAUUCGAGAGCAUGUUGUGCCAAUUUUGGAUAACUUGAAUCCAGGGAUAGUUAGAUCACGCAUACAAGCUCAACAAUUUGAAUUGAAACCAGUAAUGUUUCAGAUGCUGCAAACUGUUGAGUAGUUCAGUGGGUCACCAAAUGAGGAUCCAAGACUGCACUUAAGACUUUUUCUAGAAGUUUGUGACUCAUUUAGACAACAGGGUGUUCCUGAAGAUGCCUUGUGACUUAAAUUGUUUCCAUAUUCCUUGAGAGGCUUAGCAAAAAUGUGGCUUAAUUCUUUGCUAUCAAGGACAGUGGCAUCACAGAAUGACCUUUGUCAAAGGUUUUUUUUGCGGUAUGUCAUUUUCAUAAGAACACAUAUCACUUGAUUCAUACAUCCUUUUCAUGAGCAUAUGUAUAAUUAAAUUUAGAAAUUUACCUUUUCAAUUCCUUUUCAUGCCCGUUGGACCAUCUAGAAUAUCAUCGAAUACUCAAGAAAGCUCACACGAAGUGUGCUUAAACAUAUAACCGUAACAUUUCCUUUACAUCAUUGCUCACACGAGCUGUGAAAUGGGCAUGCUCAUACGAGCUGUAGCUCAGAAUGUAAGCUACAUGAUGCUGCUCACACGAGCUAUGAAGUAUCUACAACAAAUACAGGACCUCAACUAUCAGUAGGACAUUCAAGACCAGCACUUGAAACAUGAAAUCCCUAAUGACAUGUCAUUUGUAUCCUACAAAUUCCUAAGGUUCAACCUUGACUCGAUAAUCGUCACAGCAUUGCUUGGAUAUACAUUGUUCAAUAGCAUUACAAAAUGCAUAAUAACAUACAUUUGAAUAACAUGAAUAUAGUAAUCCGUAUAUAUGAACUUACCUCGACAAUUAGGGCAUAGAAACUAAAUCGACUAAUCUAAAGCUUUAGCUUUUCCCCGAUCUAGAUCCGUACGUGGUCUAUCUUGAUCUAAAUAGACAAAUUUAAUCCAUUUAAAAUCCCUAGCAUUCAAUUUAGUCCACUUUCAUAUUUAUAAAAAUUUACUAUUUUGCCCCUACCAUUUUAACUUUUCACAAUUUAGUCCUUAAGCUCAUAAAUUGAAAUUUAAACAUUUUAAUCCUCUUCUCAAGCUAGUUAAAUUCUCUAGGGACUUAAAUCAAUCCAUACAAACCAUCAUUUCAUAAAUUUACCAUGAGCUUUUACAAUUUUUACAAACAAGUCCCUAAAUGUCAUUUUCAUCAAAAAUAAAUUUACAAAACUUUUUUUAUUUAUCAACAAGGACUCAUUAUAUUUAAUUAAAAAUCAAGAACAAAAAAAUAAAAUUUAUGGAAUAACCUUAAAUAUUUAACAAUUUUACAAAUUGAUCCCCGGGCUAGCUAGGUUAAGCUAAAACGACUUUAAAAACAUAAAAAUAAUUAAAACAGGCUUAAAAAUCACUUACAUGCAAUGGGAGAGCUUAGUCGAAUGUCCUAACCCCUCACUAAUGGUGAUUUUUAGUGGUAAGUAAGAAAUGAAGAAGAAGAUGUUCAUCUUUUCUUUUCCUUUUUUCUUUCAAUUUAAUUACUAAUUUACUAUUUUAGCCUUAUUACUUAUCAAAAUUUACAACAAAACCUUGUCAUGAAUAUCCACUAACUAUAGAAAUGGUAUAAUUACCAUAUAAGUCCAAUCACUUUAAAUUUUCAUAGUCAUUUGGCCCUUUUAACAAAUAGAGCUCCACUUUUGCACCUUUUAUGAUUUAGUCAUUUUCACUUAAUUAAUCAUGCAAACAUCAGAAUUUCUUAACGAAAUUUUAAUAUGACCUUACUAAAAUAUAAUAAACUUUAAAAUAAUAUUAAAAUAAUAAUUUACUCAUCGGAUUUGUGGUCCCAAAACUACUAUUUUGAUUUCACUAAAAACGGAGUGUGAUAGUGUGCUUAAGAAAGAAGGUGUUACAGUUAUCAGUAAUGAUAAAAACGACCUUAUUCCAACUCUUACUUUCAUGGGAUGGAGAGUAUGCAUGGAUUAUCGUAAUGUAAUACCCCAUAACCCGAAUCUGUCGCCAGAUUAGAGUUACGAGGCAUUACCAAUCAAAACCCAACACAUAAAUUUUUUUGUUUUACCUAAUCAACUCAAGAUAGACAGCAUAUAAAAUACUUAUAUAUAUUUUAUACAUAUACAAAGCACCACUUAGCAUAUAAAUUAUAGCCUGAUACGUACAAACUUCAUAAAUUUUAUUAAAUCUAAAAUCAUAUAUCAUACCAAUCAAAAUGAAUCAAGUACAAAGCUGUAUAAGUAUAAUUACAAACAUCAUAUUAUUCAAAUUGUUAACAAAAGCAUAAAGAUUAUGUAUAACUAGUAUAGAUGUGCCAUUAUUAAUAACUAGAACGAAAUCAUAAAAAUGGAUUAUUUUCGUAUGAUUACUUAGGUUCAUAACUUUUAAACUAAUCAAAAAUUACAAGCAACCUAAAACACAUUUAAUUUAAUAACAUUAAAUUCAUGUACCAUACACAUUUGAAUAUAUAUAUAUAUAACAUGCUCUUUUUAUAGCCUUAACAUUGAACCAAAUCCAUUUUUAUCACAUUGUAUUAUCUAUCACAAAUUUCUACCGUAUCCGAAUACACAUGGCCUACAAUACCAAUCUAAAAUCAAACAUGCAUUAAUCAAAUUUCAUAUACUAACCAUAUUUCAAAAAUCCAACUAUAUAUUUAUCAUUUACCAAAUCAAAUCUUAAUAUCAUAACUCAAGCAUAUAUCCAACAUUUAUUUCAUUUCAAUUUACUAACAAUACUAAAUAUUACAACAUAGGUAAUCUACCCUAUUUGGACAGCUUUUAUUCAUGAAUUUGGUCAGCAUAUAUAAAACAGUUUGGGCAGCAUUUAAGCAUCAAAAUUGGACAGCAUAUAUGUAACAAAUUGGGCAGCAUUUAAGCAUCAAAAUUGGACAGCAUUAUGUAACAAAUUGGGCAGCUUUUAUUCAUCAAAAUUGGACAGCAUAUAUGUAAUAAAUUGGGCAGCAUUUAAGCAUCAAAAUUGGACAGCAUUAUGUAACAAAUUGAGCAGCUUUUAUGCAUCAAAAUUGGACAGCAUAUAUGUAAUAAAUUGGGCAGCAUUUAAGCAUCAAAAUUGGACAGCAUUAUGUAACAAAUUGGGCAGCAUUUAUGCAUCAAAAUUGGACAGCAUAUAUGUAAUAAAUUGGUUCAACUCAUAACCAAAUCAAUCCAUCAUUCAAUGCAUAACUAUUGUACAUAUACUAAUCACUUAAUCAAAUUUAACAUGUCCAAACUAUAUAUAUAUCACAUUUAUUAUCAUAUCACAAACUUAUACCAUAAUUCAAUACGCAAAAUUAUAAACCUCAUUUUCAUGACCAUUAAAACCAUAUGCAUAAACGCCAAACUCGAUCAAAAUAAGAUGAGCCAUUUUCACAUGGCCAUUUAUAUACAUAUUCCAAAACUAACCAAAAAGAUAAGCAAGCCUAUACAUGCCAUAAUAUCGAGUUUAAAAAUUUAUUAAAGUACCCAAAAGAUGUCGAUAGUGUGAUAGACUUUGUUGACAGUCCCCGAGCUUGUAACCAACCUCCAAAAUCUAAAAAAAAAAUAUUGAAAAGCAAUAUACACAUGGUAAGCUAUUUAAGCUUAGUAAGUCAUAAGCAAACCUUAUUCAUUUUCAUUUUUACGUUAAUAUCAAACUACUUUACCAAGCCAACCAAAUCAAAUAUAAGUAACAUUGAACUUUAUAAAAACUCAAGGCACAAAUACUCAAAUUCUUGUAUACUUAGCAUUUUAUAAUUAAAAACUAUGAUAAUAGGCCGAUUUCCCUAUACCACCAAAUCACUUAUAACUAUGAACAUGCUCACACAUUAUUCAUAUAUCAAUCAACUUUGAAUCAUCAAUUCAAUAUACAACUUACCUUAAAUUUCAUAGCAUGAUAUAAAUACAUACCUGAACAUUAUUAAUUCGACUUCACAUUCGGUUAUCACUUAACAUUGCCCGUUGAACCACUCGGAAUUAAAAAAGAUACACGGAUAGUCGAAAACUCGUACAAUGCCAACGUCCCAGACGUGGUCUUACAUGUAAUCACAUAUCGAUGCCACUGUCCCAGAUAGGUCUUACACGUAAACACAAGUCGAUGCCAACGUCCCAGACAUGGUCUUACACGAUAACACAUAUCGGAAAUCCUAUGUCAUGACAUAUGUAUCCUAUCUAUUCCUAAGGUUCGUACGGGACUUUCGGACAACGUAUCUCGAUCGAAUCGAACUCGAAUAUAGCUCAUUUGCUCAAUAUACAUUCGGCCAUAGACAAAUAUAUUCACAAAAAUUCCACCCAACAUGUAACAUAUAUAUUAUCAAAUUUAAUGACAUUUAUAUUCUUAUAGACUUACCUCAGAUGUUGUUGACUGCUAAAUCGGCUACUCGACCACUUUUGUCUUUCCCCGAUCCAAAUUCGAUUUCUUUAAUUCUUGAUCUAAACAUAUUCAAAUUAAGUUUAUUUAAACACCAUUCUAUUCAAUUUAGCCUAAAAACACAUGAAUGGGAAAAUUACAAUUUUGUCCAUAACAUUUCACACUUUUUAUAAUUUAAUCCUUUUUGUUCAAAACACAAAAUACACAAAUUUUGACUACACUCCUUAAGGGCCGAAUAUUCCUAUUGUCUAUACAAGCUCAUGCAUUUCAUUUAUUUCACAUUAUAGUCCUUCAAAAAUUUAUUUUCACAAUUUUACCCUAAUUACUCAAUUUCACCAAAAAUUCAAAAACAAAUCAUGUUAAUCUAACAAAUAUAUUUCAUAUUUCACCUACUAACAUCAUAAAGCUCAAGCAUUCAUCAAUGGCACAUUUCAAAAUCAUCCACAAUUCACAAAAUUAAGACAUGGGUUUUGAAGAACACGAAGCAACGAUCUCAAAAACGUAAAAAUUAUAAAAAACCGAAGUAAAACAUACCUUUAAUCAAGCUAGUUUUGUGCCGAAACCUUAACAAGCAUGGAUAACUUCUUUCUUUGCUAUAUUCGGCCAAGAAAGAUGAAAAAUGACCCUUUUUUUAUGUUUUAAUAUAACAUAUAUUAGCAUAAAUUUUAGUUUACAAAUUUAACCUUAAAUAAAUAAAUUAUAAAACAUAUAAUAUAAGGGCAAUGUUGACCAUUGCCACCCACUAUCAUCUACAUGGCUUAAUUUCCAUUUAAAACCCCCUUUUUUGAAAGACAACAACAGUUGGGUGCUUUUAGAUUUGACCCCUAAUUUUUUUAUUUUACGCGAUUAAGUUAUUUUCUUUAGUCGGACACUCAAACGACGAAAUUAAAUCAUGAAAUUUUCACACAAGUAAAUUCACACAUAAUAAACACAAAAAAUAAUAUUAAAAUAUUUUUAAGACUUGGAUUUGUGGUCCCGAAACCACUGUUCCGAUUAGGGUCAAAAUCGGGCUGUUACACGCAAGCUCAAUAAGGCAACUCAGAAGAAUCAUUUUUCCUUGUCAUUUAUUGACCAAAAGUUGGAUAGAUUAGCUGGGAAAGCUUUUUACUAUUUUUUGGAUGGUUAUUCAGGAUAUAAUCAGAUUAUUAUAGCUCCUAUCGACUAAGAGAAGAAAAAUUUCAUUUGUCCAUACGGUGCUUUUGCAUUUUGUCGAAUACCAUUUGGGUUAUGUAAUGCCCCAACAACAUUUCAGUAUUGUACGAUGGAAAAAUUUCUUGAAGUCUUCAUGGAUGAUUUCUCUAUCUUUGGAAAUAAUUUUGAGGACUAUUUAACAAAUCUAGAAAUGGUUCUCUAACGCUGUGAAGAAACAAAUCUUGUCUUCAAUUGGGAGAAAUGUCACUUCAUGGUUCGUGAAGGUAUUGUGUUAGGGCAUAAGAUAUCGCAGCAAGGGAUUGAAGUUGGCAAAGCAAAAAUUGAGGUAAUAGAAAAAUUGCUACCUUCAACCAGUGCCAAGGGUAUUAGAAGUUUUCUAGGCCGUGUAGGAUUUUAUAGAAGAGUCAUUAAGGAUUGCUCGAAGAUAUCUAAACCUUUGUGUACCUUGCUAGAGAAAAAUAGACCUUUCAAUUUUGAUGAACCUUGUUUGAUUAUUUUUGAGGAAUUGAAGAAAAGGUUGGUAGCGACACCGAUGUAAUAGUACUGGAAUGGACACUGUCCUUUGAACUCAUGUCUAACACCAGUGAUUUUGCUAUGGGGACAGUGUUGGGAUAGCAAAAAGAUAAGGUAUUUCAUGCAGUCUAUUAUGUGAGCAGGACCCUAACGGAUGCACAACUAAACUACACCACCACAGAAAAGGAGUUAUUAGUUGUGGUGUUCGCAUUCGAUAAAUUUAGAUCUUAUUUAGUUGGCACCAAAGUCACGGUCUACAUAGACCAAUAUGCUAUUAAGUAUUUGGUGACCAAGAAAGAUGCCAAGCCAAGAUUAAUUCGGUGGAUACUUCUACUGCAGGAGUUUGAUUUAGAAAUUUGAGAUACAAAUGUGAUUGAAAAUCAAGUGGCUGAUCACCUGUCAAGGUUAGAAGCUAGAAAUGAAGAUGGUAAAAUUCAACUUAUUAAAACAAGAUUUUCCAAAUGAGCAACUGUUGGUUCCCAUGGCAUUACCUUGGUAUGCCAAGGUAGUGAACUUUUUAGUAAGUGGUUUGAUGCAACUUGAUCUCAACAGCCAAAGAAGAUGAAAGUUCCUUCAUUAUGCCAAACAUUAUUAUUGGGAUGAACCCUUCCUAUUCAAGUAUUGUGUUAAUCAGAUAAUUAAGAAGUGUGUCCCUAAUGAGGAAAUGCAUAACAUUCUGCAGCAUUAUCACUCAGUGCCUUACGGAGGAUACUUUGGAGGAAUGAGAAAUGCUACCAAUGUACUCCAAUUUGGUUUUUAUUGGCCGAGUUUGUUCAAGGAUGCCCAUGAAUUUUAUAAGUUAUGUGAUCGUUCUCAGAGGACAAGAAAUCUAUCUAAGAUACACGAAAUGCCACUGCAAAAUAUUUUGGAGAUUAAGUUGUUUGAUGUCUAGAGAAUAGACUUUAUGGGUCCAUUUCCACCAUCAUUAGGCAAUCUCUACAUACUCUUGGUAGUGGACUAUGACUCUAAGCGGGUCGAAGCUGUUGCCCUCCCUGCUAAUGAUUCAAAGUUAGUGAUGAAGUUCUUGCACAAGAACAUUUUCACAACAUUUGGUAAACCUCGAGCUAUUAUCAAUGAUGAAUGUUCUCAUUUUGAUUGCAAAUUAGUUGCUAACACUUUGCAAAGGUAUAGGGUGAAGCAUAAGAUUUCCACGGUAUAUCAUCCCCAGAAAAAUAGACAAGAGGAGAUCUUUAAUAGAGAAAUUAAACAGAUUCUAUAAAAAGUGGUGAACCCAAUUUGAAGGGAUUGGUCCUCUAGGCUGGAUGAAGCCUUGUGGGCUUAUCAUACAAUAUUCAAAACAACGUUGGGGAUGUCACCUUUUAAGCAGGUUUAUAGGAACCCAUGUUACCUAUCUAUUGAGCUAGAGCAUAAAGCAUUUUGGGCUAUUAAAAAGCUGAAUAUGGAUUGGAUUGCUGCUGACCAUAAAAGGUUGUUAGAACUGAAGGAAAUGGAGGAAUUUCAAGCACAAGCUUAUGAGAAUGCUAAACUAUACAAGAGAAGACCAAGCGCUGACAUGAUAAAAGGAUUGUGCCAAGGUAAUUUGAACCAGGACAACAAGUGUUGUUGUUUAACUCUAGGCUUAAUUUGUUCCCUGGAAAACUAAAAUCUCGUUGGUUAGGUUCCUUUGAAGUAGCUCAUGUAUAACUUCAUGGAGCUGUUAAUGUCAAAGAUAAGAAAAUGAGGGUCACAUUUAAAGUUAAUAGACAAUGCUUGAAACACUACUGGGGUGCUCAUGUAACUCGAGAUAAAUAGUCCAUUGGUUUCCGAGAUGUUUACUUCAACAUUUUAAUAAUUCUUUUUUCAUUUUAUUUUUUCUAAUUUGAAAAAUUCUCUUAGUUAUUUUAUUUAUUUUGUUUAAUAAAUUUUAUUUCCUUGUAUUACGGGUAUUUUUUUUAUAACGGUAAUAGUGAGGUUGGGCCAUACAUUACUCGUUGUCGCAUCGAAAUUUUUUUUCCAAAUAUUUGGGCCUUUAAAUUUUUCACUUUCCCUCCAAAUUUUAUUACACCAAAGUUAGGCCAUAAUUACCGACCUCCCUUCACCCACGUCAUUUGCAGAAGCAGAAUAAUCUUAUCGAGACUCAUCAGCUUCAGCUUACUGCAGAUUUGGCAAAGAUGCAGGAAAAACUGGCUCUUUACUGGGCCAAUACGGAGAGGAGGGACGCUGCUAUGAGAAGGUCCCUUCAAAAGAAUUUCACCAAGCCAAUGCUUGCAUUUCCAGACUUUCCUAAGGAAUUGCAAGCAGCUAUAGUAGAAAGGGUUGGUGAAGUAAAGCCAGCUGAGACAGACCCUUCCACUACUAAGAAAGAAAACAAAGAACUAGAGGAAGAAAUAGAGAAAAUCGAAUCAGAUAGCAUUGCGACUGAUCGUGAGGAAGAAAAAAAAGUAAAUCCCACACUUGUACCACUAGUGAACAACACUGUAGUUGUUCCACCUUCCUCUUCUAAACCAAUGACAGAAUAAGAUCGAGAAAUCAAUCACCUCAUUGACGAAAUCACCAAGUCUGAUAAUGAAUAGGAGGAUGUGCCACUCCACUCAUUAAAAAGGAAAACGCAUUAUAAGCACAGUGCACGCAAAUCCACUAGUAGAAAAGAAUGAAGUAACCAUACUAAGCUCCAAGCUAGGGAAGUUUUCUUCCGUGCCUUGCAUCAUGUAUUCCGUUUGUUUUGCCAUGUCAUUUUUUGUACAUAUAUAUAUUCUUGCAUUCAUGUUUCAUGCUUGUACGUACAUGCAUUGAUGACAAUGCACCUUUUAGGUUUGAGGGUGUAUUUAGCAUUUAGGAUGCAUUUUCUAUUUAGUAACACUUUGUUUAUAUUUAGUAAGCAUGUUCAUUUUAGUGAAUUUUGUUUUGCCAAGUAACUGACAAGGACUGUUUCGACUAUGAUGAGUACAACUUUUACUUGUGAUGUUUGAUGAUGAACUUAAAUUCUUCAAUAAAUCUAGAACAUGUGACAGUGGAUUAGGUAAAUUUAGUUUAGGUAAGGUUGCUUGGAAAUUACCUCCUAAAAGGGAGAUGUCUUGAAUUUAGUUAUAUUGGGACUAUAGUGAAUUUCUUUUAAUAAACCUAGAGAUUCUUAUAGUUAAACUCAAAAAAAAUAGCCAAAUUAUUAUUUAAACAGAUAGCUGUAGAUACUGCAAUAUUUAGAAUUGCCAAGCAAGUCAACAAUACUUUGUUUGCUCCAUCGUGUUGUUGGCUAGAAAAGCAAGUUUAAGCAAAAGAGUGUAAUAAAGUAAAGAAAAUUGGGGGCAUUCUAUUGUAGCAAUAGACUGAGUAACUAAGGAGGUAGUUGUUUGUUCCAUCCAUCUUCUAAGUUAAAAGCUUUAGCUUCAUGAGUGAUUUUUAUACAAAUUGUGACAUGGUUGAGUACUCGGUAAUUUUGUGUAUGCUCCACUUUGACUAUCGAGUCAAAGAAUUGUGUGACAUGCUAAAACCCAUGUUUCAAAUAAAAGUAAAAAUAAAAUAAAAUGCCGUUACAAAUCACUUUGAGUUUAGUUAAAAGAUGAAGUAAGUAAACUAGGAGAUACUUGCUAUAGUGAAAGUUGCAUGAGUACUUAGGACAAUAUUUUUUGCACUACCUUUGCUGAAUAAGCUUAUGAAACUUGAUCAAAUUUUUAGACAUAGAAGAUUUUUGAGAACUGAAGUAUAGGAUGCUCUUUUGAUGGUCUAACAGUACAAAGGUGAUUAUGUUGUUGCGGUAAUUCGUACAUUAAUGCGUAUCUUGCUUGGAGACAAGCAAUAACUCAGGUUUGGGGGUGUGAUAACUCUUGAAAAGAGUUAUAUGUCAUGCCUUUAGACUUGGUUAAUUGUCUCUAUUCAAGUGAAUUUAUUUGUAUUUUAUGAUAUUAUAUUAGUAUUUUUUAGAGCAUUGCAUUAGGGAGCUUGGACUGUGCUUAAAUGUUAUUAUAUGUUACUUUUAAUUAUUUGCGGAAAGGAUUUGUUUGUUGAUUUAGUAAUAGGUGAAGAAUGAGGAAAGAGGAGUAAAUGAGUGAAGGUUUGUCAUGGAAAAAGGUUGGACAGUUUGCCAACACGAAUGUCGUGGCAAUGCAAGGAAGAGACCUAGUCAACACUUAACCGUUAUCAUCCCUAUUGUACGUUUACCAGAAAAAUCAACCUAAAAAAGAGGGAAAAGAUCAUGGGAUCAUGGGAUGAUGGGCCUACUCUAAAGAAAGACAUAUAAAACCUAAAAAGAAAAAGAAAAAAAAGAAGACGGUUGAGAAGACAAUUGAAAAAAUAUCCUUGGACGGGAAUAGAGGAUAACAGUUGAGAACAAGGCAGAAUCAUAAGGGAGAAGAAGAAGUCAGUUCCUCUUGCCACCAUUAGAUUCCAACGCCAAAGAUAUGGGGCUAGAUAGGUGAAAUCCAUCUUCCUGAAGUUCUUCUUUUACUUCUUUAUUUACUGUUUUGUGAAUUGAAUUUAGAAGAAUGGCGUUGAAUGCUAUUUUGAAUUUGAAUGACGUUGAAUGCUAUUUUGAAUUUGAAUGUUAUUUUCCAACCCAUAAAUUAAUCUCAUAGAGUUGGGAUUGCUUGAUGAAACCUUUAUUUCCUUUAAUGACUAAAGCCUAGAUUAGUUUUAAUUUACUGUUUCAUUCGAUGUUAUUUAUGAAUUGCAUGCAUAUAAUCUCUAGACAUAGAUGAAUGUGCAGUAUGUUGAUGAAAUUAAUCUAAUACUGACAAGGUUAGGUUAGUUUGAUUGAAAUUGAAUGAUAUGUGCAAGUAUUUGACCGAAUACUUAUAGUAGUCUCUAGACAUAGAGCAGAGUUCAAUACAGAAAGAAAACAAAACAAUGUUGGUUACUGUCCUAAAGGCCUAUAGACAUAUAUCGCUUUAGGCAUGGUAACUUAAUGUCUUUCUCUCGAAAGAAGCAAACAGUUUUAGAUCUCUUUCGAGUAGUAGAAUAAGAUUGAUUUUUCCAGUGCAUAUUUGGUUAACAAGGGUAGAUUCUCAGUAAUCCCAACCUUCUAAGUCAACAUCAUAGAUUUUUUAAACUUUGCCGUAGCAUCUCUAUUUUCGCAUCCCUAAUUAUUUACUUGUUUGUUUUGCACAUUUUAUACAAUAUUAUUCUCGUAAUUGCCACUGCGUUAUUAUUAUUAUUAUUUCCUUAGCAUUAAUCUCACUUUACUAUAAUAACUACCAUUUUAUACAUAGUCAAUCCCUGUGGAGACGAUCUCACUUAUCACUUUAUUACUUGAUCCGACAUGUAUACUUGCACAAUUCACAUGUCAUAUUCACACACGUCAGUGACCCUUUCCCACUCAUCACCUUAUUUCUCCAUCUUUCUCCUUCCUUAUUUCUCAAUGUAGGAAGUCACAAAAUGAUAAAGUAACUACGGUUAGCUUACAAGUUUUUGUGAAUUAAUGCUUGAGUUUUCUAAUUGUUUUACUUUUUUUCCGAGUCACUUUUGACUUUUCCAAAAUUUCUAACUCAUAAUGUUUUUUCGUUAUUCAAGUACUCUUUCUACUCUUUCUACUCGUUUUGACUUUUUUUGGAUUUUUCUUUUGUUUUACAGAUUUUAGCUAGACAUAUAAUCACUAUAUCACACUGUUUCUUCCUAUUUCAUUUUGAUUUUUUAAAACCACCAUUAUAUCUCUACCUAUCCCUCAAUAUGUAUGGCUCAAUGUCUAAGUUCGUACAAUUCAGGGACCAAAGAAAAAAGGAAAGUACAAAUUUGUGUUUUAGUUUCGGGCUUUAUAUGAAGGUUCAUCAAGAAGAGUUUUCUGGCUCAAAUAUGGGUACUAAAGAUUGAUGAAUAAGGUUGGAUUUUUUGCUCUAGGUUAUACCAAACACUGCCUCAAGUUAUCCAUAUGUAUCUCAAUAUUCACAAAUUUAAUGAAUAAAGCAAUCACAAUUCUAAUAAUUUAUCAUUCAUAUUAGCAUGCUUGUUUCCCUAUAUUCUCCCUGUCAUUUGGUAUAUUUAAUUACUUAAUGCCUAUUUACAGUCUAAUAUAUAGAAAUUAGUAGACUAAUAAUUGAAAAUUUAAAAUCACUUACAUCGUGCCAAACUUAUAGUAAAUGUAAUAAAUCCUAUAUACAUGCUCCUAAAAAAAUUGCUUGUAUUUCUACAAGCUCAAGCACACUUUUGACAACAAAAACAAAAGAGAAAGCAUAAAAAUAAAAUUUCCUAUGUUACACCAAUACUUUAGAUGACACAUUGUCCCUAAUCUGCAACCCUUGAAUAUAUAAGGAACGAAGUUACCCGAUUUAUCGUGACAUUACCAUAGUCAAAUUUACUUCGAGCUAUCGCUGACGCUCUUUAGCGUGUUGCAAGAACUACUUCUACUACAGUACCUUCACCUACUAUUUGAUGGGCUUCGAUAAAAGAAUUAUGAAGAUAUGGGGUGACCGAGUUUUGAGGGUUGAAAAGGGUUGAUCCCUCAGUAGCUGAAGUUUGGAUUGAAUCUAUUAAACAUGUCUUACAACAACUUGAAUGCGACCCUCACAAAAGUGUAAUUUGUGUUAUUUCUCUACUACAAUGAGAAGCGUAUACUUGGUAGCAGUCAGUAACACACCACGUACCUAUCGAACGGGCCAAUUGGGAGUUCUUCUAAAAGGAAUUUCAAAAGAAAUACGUCAGAGAAUUGUAUCUCGAAGAUAAGAAACAAGAUUUUUUGUUGUUAAAGCAGAGUGAGAUGUCAGUGGUUGAUUACGAAUGGGAGUUUUUAUGACUUAGUAAGUACGCUGUUGAAUUUGUGUCAUCCAAAGUCAAAAUUUGUAAAUGAUUUCUGCAUGGACUACGUGAUGAGCUUCGGGUAUAGUUGGUAUCGCAUCGAAUAAUAGAAUUUACAAAUCUAGUGAAACGGGCAAAGAUGGUGGAACAUGCAUUAGGCCUUGAUAGAAAGGUAGAGGUUACUCGCACUGUUAGAAAAUGGUUUGGGGCUGCUAGUUCACAUCCACAACCUAAGAAAACUAAAGAAUUUUAUGGUGGUUAGAAAUCGACUUUUAAAUCUGACCAACUCUAUAGAAAUUGUAACCGAUAAUCGACUAUAUCUAUGAGUAGUGUGCAAGGUCUUUUCAGAGAUAUUAACAUUCUAAAUUAUCAGCAUUGUGGGAAAGGCAUCAUGGUGAAUGUUGGAAGCUAACUCAAGCUUGUUUUUAUUGUGGAUCUACGGAGCAUUUUGCUCAUGAGUGUCCAAGAAAUGAGAAUGUUGCCCCUGCUUCUUCUCAGAGGUUUGUACUGCAUCUAGGGGUGGUGGAACAAGUCGUGGUGGUUCUUUCAUCAAAGGUGGUGCUAGAAAGGGAAGUGAUGUUGUUACUCACCAGUCAAAGGCCAAAGCAGCAUCCCGAGCUUAUGUUAUGCGGACACGUGAGGAUGGUAAUAUUAGUGACAUUUUGGCAGGUAUCUUUUUAUUGCAUUCAGAACUUGUUUAUGCUUUGAUAGAUCCUAGAUCUUCACACUUGUAUGUUAAUGCUGAGUUAGUUAAAUCUGAAAGUUUAAAAUUUGAGACGUCUAGGGUAUCGAUAGUUGUGUCAAGUCCUUUGGGGUAGUCCGUAUUAGUGGAUCAUGUGUAUAGGCGAUGUCUAUUAGAAAUGCAAAAUAUAAUUUUUCCUAUUGAUUUGUUGAUAAUGCUAUUUAGCGAAUUUGGUCUAAUUUUUGGAAUGGAUAGACUUACUGAACACGGAGUGAUUCUAGACUGCCGUAAAAAAAAGUUCGAGGUUCAGAGAGCAAAUGGUAACAUGAUUAAGGUGAUUGGUGUUCGAACAAAUGGUUCAACUCAUAUUAUUUCAGUAAUUUGAGUUAAUAAACUUCUCAAUUAAGGCUAUGAAGCUUUCCUAGCCUAUGUUAUCAACUUGAAUUCUGGUGAUAGUCAGAGCAGUAAGAUUCAUACUGUUUGUGAAUUCUCUGAUGUGUUUCUCGAGGAAUUAUCAGGAUUACCACCAGAUCAGGAGGUUGAGUUUACAAUUGAAGUGUUUCCUGGUAUGGCUCCAGUGUCAAUGUCUCAUUAUCAUAUGGCACCAACGGACUUGAAAAAACUGAAUGUGCAAUUGCAAGAUUUACUAGAUCGUAGCUUUAUAUGCCCUAGUAUAUCACUUUGGGGAGCUCCAGUGUUGUUCGUUAAAAAGAAAGAUGGCUUGAUGCAACUCUGUAUAGACUACUGGCAAUUGAAUAAGUUGACGAUUAAGAAUCGAUACCCCCUACCUCAUAUUGAUGACUUAUUUGAUCAACUAAAAGAAGCUUUUGUCUUUUCUAAGAUUUGUUUAAAAUCUGGUUAUUAUUAGUUGAAAGUAAAAGAUAGUGAUGUACCUAAGACGACAAUUUGUACGCGUUAUAAAUUCUUGGUGAUGCCUUUUGGGUUGACUAACGCUCCUGCGGCAUUUAUGGAUCUCAUGAACCACAUCUUCCAACUGUAUUUGGAUCAAUUUGUGGUAGUUUUCAUUGACAACAUUUUGAUCUACAUGAAAUCUGAGUCCGAGCAUGAGCAACAUCUUAGAAUCAUUCUGCAGUCAUUGCGAGAGGAACAAUUAUAUGAAAAGCUUAGAAAGUGUGAAUUUUCGUUACCGAAGGUUGUGUUUCUAGGGCAUGUUAUCUCAACGAAUAGAGUUAGAGUUGAUUCGAGAAAGAUUGAGGCCAUUGUUCAGUUGAAAGUACCGAGGAAUGUGUCAGAGGUUUGCAAUUUUCUUGGUUUAGCUAGUUAUUUCCGAAGAUUCGUAAAUGGAUUUUUGAAGAUAUCUUUGUCGAUGAAAAAGUUGUUGCAUAAGAACGUCAACUAAAAACAUAUGAGCAUAAUUAUUUGACACACGAUUUAGAGUUAACUGUUGUGGUUUUUGCUCUAAAGAUCUGGAGACACUAUCUGGACAAUGAAAAAUGUCACAUUUAUGCCGAUCACAAGAGUUUUAAAUACCUCUUAACCUAAAAGGAGUUAAAUUUGAGAUAGUGUCGUUGGGUGAAACUUCUAAAAGAUUAUGAUUGUGUUAUUGAUUAUCAUCCUUGUAAAGAUAACGUCGUAGUUGACGCGUUGAGUAGAAAGGUAGCAGUUGAAUUAUAAGUGAUGUUUGCUCAACUUAGUAUCAAUAAUGAUGGAAGCUUGACAGCUAAGUUGAAAAUCAAACCAGUGUUGUUUGAUCAGAUCAAAGUAGCACAGUUAGAUAAUUUCAAGUUAAUGAAGAAAAGAUAAAUGGUUCAAAAGGACUCAAUAGAAAAUUUCAGCAUUGAUGAUUGUGAUUGUUUAUGGUUUCAGAAUCGAAUAUAUGUUCCUGAUGUUGCAGAAUUAAAAGAGUUGGUACUUUACGAAGCUCACGAUAGCCCUUUUACCUUACAUCUUGGAGGAACAAAAAUGUAUUGCAACCUGCGAGAAUUGUAUUGGUGGCCAGGAAUGAAAAGAGAAAUAGUUUAAUACGUAGCUAAAUGUUUAACUUGUCAAUAAGUUAAGGCAGAACAUCAGGUUCCCACAGGAUUACUUUAGCCUAUUUCAAUUCAUGAGUGGAAGUGGGAAUGCAUAGUGAUGGAUAUUUUAAUGGGGUUACCUUUAUCUUCAAGUAAGAAAAAUGCUGUGUGGGUGAUCGUUGAUCGACUUACGAAAUCAGCUUAUCUCAUUGCAUUCAGAACUGAUUGGCCACUUCAAAAGCUUGUUGAAUUUUACAUUCAGGAAAUUGUUAGAUUGCACGACGUUCCUAUGUCGAUUAUCUCCGAUCAAGAUCCGCGAUUCACUUCAAAAUUUUGGAAACAGUUGCAUGAAUCUUUUGGUACGAGACUCAAUUUCAGCAUAGUCUUUUUACCCACAGAGAGACAGACAAUCCAAACGUGUUAUCCAGAUUUUGGAAGAUAUGCUUCGCACUUGUGUAAUCGAUUUUGAAUUAGGUUGGGAACAUUAUUUACCUUUGGCUGAAUUUGUGUACGAUAAUAGUUUCCAAUCGGGUAUUCAAAUGGCUCCGUACGAAGCCUUAUAUGGUUGUAGGUGUCGAACACCUGUUUGUUGGAUGGAAUUGUGUGAAAGAAAAGUUGGGUCGGAAUUGAUUCAAGAAAUGGAAGAUAUCGUUAAGAUAAUCCAGGAUAGAUUGAAAACAACCUUUGGUAGAUAGAAAUCAUACGCAGAUUUCAAAUUUCGGGAAAUUCAGUUUGCUAUUGGUGACAAGGUGGUUCUUAAAGUUUCACCCUGAAAGAAAGUUUUAAGAUUUGGCCGAAAAGGGAAGCUGAGUCCUCAUUUUAUUGGACCGUAUGAAAUCAUUGAAAGAGUGGGACCAGUUAGGGCUGUGCAUAAUUCGAUUAACCCAAUUUUUUUCGGUUAACCGACCGAGUUCGGUUAAUCGGUCGGUUAACCGAAAAAAUUUGGUCGGGGGUCGGUUAAUGUUUUUUGAUUUUUCGGUUAACGGUUAAAUCGGUUUGAAACCGGUCGGUUAACCGAAAAAAAUCGAGUAAACCGAAUUUUGCAAGGUAGGGCCUAAAAUAGGUCAAAUUAAACCUAGCCCAAUUUUUUCUCAAGCUCAACACCGAACUUUUUGGGUAAUUUUCGGGUAAUUCGGUUAAUUCGGUUAAUUCGGUUAAUCGGGUAAUUCGGGUAAUUUUUAACCAAAAAUAAAAAACACAUAAUUUUUGGUUAAUUCGGUUAACCGACCUUAUUAACCGAAAAAAAUUCGGUUCGGUUAAUUUUUUUUAAAAAAAUUUGGUUCGGUUAAUUUUUUUUAAAAAAAUUCGGUUCGGUUAACGGUUAAAAAUUUUGGAAGGUCUGUUAAUUCGGUUAUAGCAAUUUCGAGUCGGUUAACCGAAUGAACACCCCUAGGACCAGUCGCGUAUCGAUUGGCAUUACUUAUAGAAUUGUAAGAAAUACACAAUGUUUUCCAUGUUUCGAUGCUUAGGAGGUAUCGUUCAGAUCCGUCUUACAUUAUUUCGACGGAUGAAAUUAAAAUUCGAUCUGACUUGUCUUAUGAAGAAGAACCGGUUGAAAUGUUAGCCUGCAAGGUGAAAGAGUUGAGUAAUAAACGAGUUCUGUUAAUAAAAUUUCUAUGGCGUAGUCAUACCGCCAAAAAAGUGAUUUGGGAGCCAGAAUAGACGAUGAUAUCUCAAUGUCUCUACCUCUUUUCAGGUAAAUUUCAGGAUGAAAUUUAUUUAGGAGGGAGAAUUGUAACGAAUCGAUAGGCAGGGGUACCGAAAAACGUAUUUUCAGGACUUUUUUCCUAUGAACCGAACCCGUAAAUAUUUUUAGUAAAUAUUUACGGAGUUAUAUUAGAGACGAAUUAAAUUUUGGAUAGGUAAUUUGCAUGAAUUAUGAGCUAUUAAGGAACAGGGACUUUAUCGCGUAAGGGUUAAAAGUUGGAUUAUAGAUUGAAAAUAAAUUAAAAGGGCUAAAAUAGUAAAUAUGCAUUUAAUUAAUAGUAGUGGACGACAUUAGUGAUAUGUGUUAUAUACAUGAUAAAUUAAUAAAUAUGUUAUAAUAAAUAAAUAAAAUAAAAUGUAUAUAUAUUAUAUUAUAAUGAAUUAAAAUGAAAACAAAUAAAUGAAAUAACAAUGUAAGUGGAGGGAGAGAGAAUUAUUCAUGCAAAUUUGAAAGAAAAGAAAGAAAGAAAGAAAGAAGAAGGGAAAGAACGCACAACACUUAGGGGUUUUAACCUUCCAACUUCAAUUGGUUAGUCAAUUUAGUCAUCUUUUCUUGUAAAUUUUACGUUUUUGAGAUCCCGAUACUUAGGGCUACCCGACCCAUGUCAUAAUUUUUAGUAUUUUUUUAAUAUUUUAGAUAUUGUCAUUGUUGAGUAGGUUAAGUAUUAGGGGUUAAUUUGAUAGAUUUUAAAGUUAGAAGUGAAAAAGGACUAAAUAGUGAAGUUAAUUAUUGAUUUUGAGUAAUAGGGACUAAAUUGUGAAAAUUUUGAAAUUAAGAGGUAGAAUUAAAAAUAUAGAGCUAAAUUUAGCUUAGAGUGAAAUUAGUAUAAAAAUUUGAAGCUAAAUAUGGGGAUUAAAAUUAGUCUCGGUUUAGGGACUAAAAUUGAGGAUUAAGCAAAUUGUGGUGUAAAAUUUGAAAUUAAAUGAUAAUUUAGUUGUGUAUUAUUAAUUUAUUUUAAUUAUUUUAUUCCAUAGCAAACGUCGUUCAAGAAUCCUCGAGUAAGAAGGGAAAAGAUAAGGUCGACAUUGAGUAGCUCGGAAUAUACGAUUUGUAUUUCUAUUAUUCGAACUAAACUAAAAAUUGUUGCAUAUUGAUAUAUUUGUCAUGGUAAGCAUUAAGGUGAGAUUGUUAUUCAAUUGGAAUAUUAGAAUCGAUAGUUGUUUAUAAAAGCAAAUGUUACAUAAUUGAAAAAUACGUGUAUUGAGAAAUUAUGGUUGCUAUCAAAUUUAAUAAAUGCUUAUAUUUGUGUUAAUGUACAUAUAUGAAAAUUGGAACAUUGGUUGCAUUGAAAAGUGAAAUGAAACCCUAUUAACUAUUUCGGGCUAAGUUGGAUAUAGAUGGCAUGCCAUAGGAUAGGAAGAGUUUAGGGAUUUCUUUGACCUUGAGUCGAUGAGGCACUAGGUGCCAAUUUGUUUCAGUUUAACCGAUGAGACACUGGGUGUCAACUUAUAUAGCGUUAGGCGCAGUUAUUACUUCAGAUUUAUCCAAUGAGGCACUGGGUGCCAACCUGGUGUGUUGGUUGGAUUCGCGUAUCCGUCCGAGUUUGAAUUGUGUUAAUAGGGGAAAUUAAAUGAUAAAAUUUAUGUGUUGAUAUUGAGACGAAAAGGAUGAGAAAUGGAUAUGAUAUGGGAAAUGGAAUAUGAAAUGAUGAAAUGGGAUAUGAAUAUUGAAAUGAAUUCAUGUAUUGAACAAAGAGAUGAAUCAUGCCAAUACAUAAGUUGAAAUUUAUCAAAUGUUAUACGAAAUGCCAUUGUCAUGUACUAGAACAUGUGGAAUCUAGUGGAUGUGAAUAAAGAAUGAGCAAAUUUAUAUUAUUGAAUUGAAACAUAUGUUCAUAACAUUACUUUUUGCAUUCUUACAUUUUAAUUACUCAUAUCAAGUUUAAAUUGUUCAGAUUAUAGAAAUAGCAUUUAGUUAUACUCCAAAAAUGGUUUUAUUUUCCGUGCGCAAGUUAGGUACUUUUCAAACUAUCGUCGAUUCAUCAUCCAAUGACAAAUCCCAGACUCAACUGUGGUGAUGUUCUAAAUUGUAAUGGCAUGUACCUAGGAAGUCUUUGGUUGAUAGUUGGUUUGUUAAUGUGAUGUUAUUUUGGUUUAAAGUGAAAUGAUGGUUACUUGUAUAUAUGGCUGUGGUUGAAGCUAUGUUUUGGUAUGCAGUCUAGUUAAUGUGUUGAUAUGUGUUUUCGCUUAAAGCUUGGUAGCCUAAGUAGCUAAAUGUUAGUUCAAUAUUGGCUAAUUUGGUAUGAAUGAAAGUUUUUGAAUGGUUGAUGUGUUGUUGAUAUGUUUGAAGAUAUAAAAUGUGGUACCAAUGAGGGUACAUUGGUUAGGCACUUAAGAUGGUGGUUUUGGCUUGUUUUGAGCAUGUUUAAUGGUGUUUUGAAUAGGUUAAAUGGUUGGUAAUUAAGUUGCAUAGUGUCCAAGUAAGCAUGAUUUAGUAAACUUAAGUUUCAAGGUACAUUUAGGUGCACACGGCCUGAGACACGGUGUGUCACACGGCCGUGUGUCACACACGGGCACUCAUACGGGCAUGUGCCCUAGACGUGUUGUAAAAUAGUAUAAGUGCAGCGGCCCACAUGGGUAGCCACAAGGUCUGCGAAACAGUCGUGUGUCUCAAGUCAUUGAGUUACACGGGUAGAGACACGAGCUAGAACAUGGCUGUGUGUCCCAACUCUGAAAGUUACAUAGUUUGGGGGCAUUUCACAUGGCCUGGCCAUACGGCCAUGUGUCCCCUGUUUCUAGGUAUUUUUGAGAUUUCACUAAAACUUUCAAAAUUGUUCCAAAUUAGUCCCUAUUUGUUCAUAGGCUAUUUUUAGGGAUCUGCAGACUUGUAUUAAGGACUAUAAGAGUAUUUUUACUCUGAUUUUGAAUAAAUUAGCAAACAUAAAUUAGGUAAAGUAUGUCAUUCUACUAAUAUCAUCGAAGGUAGUAGUAGUCGUAGUAUAGUUUAAUACUCUAAUGCUUAUAAUUGGAAUAACCUUGUUAUGCAUCCAACUUCUAGCAUUCAAGAGGGGAUAAAUAGUGAUAAGAGUGUAGACAGUGGAAGACCAAGUUUAGGAUUAUAUAGCAUGAUUCGUUAUUCGAUUGUAUAAGAUUCUACUAUGAAAGUAUUAGAUUGUCGUGACUUGACCUUGUAUACUAUAAUGUUAAUAGUUAGCUUGCAUUUUUAAUUAUGAUUGAUUAAUUGUUUUGAUUUGCUACUAAUUCCCGUGACCCUAAUCCGACGAUGGAGAGGGGUUAGGGGUGUUACAAUAAAAACUUAUUAAAACAUGAUAAAAAUGCUUGUAUUCAAGCUCCUCAAGUAUGAAAACUAGUUUAAUUUACUGCACCGAAUCACGACAGAUCAUCAAAGUUUUGCUAGCAACAAAUUUACUCGUAUUUUUUGUGAAUAUAAUAGGGAUUAUAAACUCGAUAUUGUUAGUCUUCUAAAGAUGAAAGUAACUGAAUGCAAAGCAAAUAAAAUCAUUGCCAGUUUGGGUUUUCAGCAUUCGCAUAAAGUAAAGGUUGUUGGUUAUUUAGGGGUAUUUGGCUUGGCUUGAAAGAGACUGUUUCAGUUGAGGUUAUUCGUAAUCACCCCUAAUUUAUUGUUGUCUAGGUCUUUAAGAGGGUUCAAUCCCAGGCUAUCAUUAUUUUUUUGUUUAUUGGAGUUCAGACAGACAGAAAAUGAGGAAUCUCUGGGAGGGACUUAGUACGAUUAUUCCAUCUAGAGGUGUUCCUUGGGCCGCUAUCAGUGAUUUUAAUGCCUUAUUUUCAUCCAACGAUAAAAAAGAAGGUAGAAGAGUUGGAAUAUGGUAUCUUUUAUUUCAAGAAUUUCUUAAAUUGAAUAAUUUGCAAGAUUUAGGCUUUAGGGGACCAGCAUUCACAUGGCAUCGAAGGGGAAUUUUUGAGAGGCUUGAUAGGGAGUUUGGCAAUGAAAAUUUGGUUAGAUCUUUUCCCAAUUACUCCGUCACGCAUCUCCCUAGGCUUAAAUCUGACCAUAGACCGUUGCUCCUUUCUCUCAAGUCUGUGGUUAAUUUACUUAGUGGGUGCCCCUUUAGAUUUCUGGUAGGUAGGAUGGAACAUCCAAACUUUUCAAAUUUUGUCAAAGAUGGCAGAGUCUUUUCAUCAGUUUACUUUGAGUAUUAAAGAUUGGAAUAAGGUUGUUCAUGGUCUUAUUGGCACCCAUUAAAGGUUUUUUGACACAGAAACUAGUUAGGAUUCAAAAAGAAAUAGACAGGUUGAGAUCUAAUGCCUUAAGCUAGUAAGAAUUGAAGGUUAGGGAAGAGGUGGAAAAUAUACUAUAUCAUGAUGAGCUACUUUGGAAACAAAAAGCUUGUUGUGAUUAGUUGUAACUUGGGGGCCGUAAUACUAAAAUUUUUCAUUCUCGCACGAUUUAGAGGAUGAAACAUAACCAAAUUUCUACUUUGAAGAAUGAGAGAGGUGAAUGGAUUUAUGAUGGGGAGGAACUUCAAUAUGAGGCGUUCAAUUUGUUCCGGAAUUUGUAUGGUGAUCAACAAGUUAAUUUGAUGAAGUUACCUCCUAGUUCCUUUUCGAUUCUUGAUCAGAAUGAUAACCUAUUAUUGAGAAGAGAGGUUUCAAUAAAAAAGAUUAAGGUUGCCCUUUUCGACAUGGCUCCUUUGAAAGCACCAAGGAGUGACGGUUUUCACACCAUCUUUUUUCAAAGUCAAUGGGAUUAGAUUAGGGAAUACGUUUGCUAUUGGGUUUGAAAAGUCUUUGAUGUUCAACCUAUUGACCAAGAACUCAAUAAUACCUUGAUCAUUCUUGUCCCUAAGGUCCUAAAUCCAAAAAAAUUUGCGCAAUUUCGUCCUAUUAGCUUAUGUCCGAUCUUUUAUAAGCUAUUCAUGAAAGUUACUACUAACCAUUUUAAACUGGUUUUUCCUAGAAUUAUUGGACAUGAGCAAGCUGGAUUCAUCGCUAGGAGGAAUAUCAUGAAUGACAUCAUUCUAGCUCAAGAAGUGAUACAUUCUAUGAGGAGCAAACACAAUAGUAAGAGGUUGAUGGCAAUCAAGAUAGAUUUGGAGAAGCCAUAUGAUAGAGUGCGUUGGGAUUUUAUUAAAUCCUUAAUUCAGAUGAUUGGUAUUCUUGAAUUUUUUAUGAAGGUUAUUAUGUCGGCUAUCACGAAUACAUCUAUGCAGAUCUUGUGGAAUAGAGUCCUGACUCAGAAGUUCAACCCAGUAAGGGGUAUUAGACAAGGUUGUCCUUUAUCACCAUAUCUAUUUAUCCUUUGCAUGGAAUGGGUUGGUCAGUGCAUUCAUUCUUCCAUCAAAUACAAGUAAGUGGAGUCUCAUUCAUUUGCUUAGGACAAGACCUGCAAUUUCACAUUUGUUUUUUUUUUUUUGCAAAUGACCUGGUUAUUUUUGGCAAAGUUGACAUAAAACAGACGAUAUUGAUUAAGAAGAUUUUAGAAAAUUUAUGUGGUUUCUUUGGGCACUGGAUUAAUGCGAACAAGACAACAAUCUAUUUUUCUAAAGGAGUUGAUAAAGAUUAUGGGAGCCGUUUAUGUGAGACUCUCGAAUUCUGAAAGGUCUAAAAUCUUGGAUCCUAUCUCGGUGUCCCACUUUUUCAUGAAAGGAUCACGAAUAGUUCUUUGAAGUUUUUGGUUGAAAAGGUUAAGACUAGACUACAACAAUGAGAUGCAAAGAAGUUGUCUCUUGCUGGUAGAGUUACUUUAGCUUAGUCGGUUCUCCUCACAAUUCCCAACUAUUUUAUACAGACCAUGAUGAUUCCACAAGGUAUUUAUGAGGAGAUUGAACGUAUUGUCAGACAAUUCAUUUGGGGGUAUUCUGGGGGUAGAAGAAAGAUGACUUUUGUUAAUUAGCAGUCUGUUUGUCAACACCCAAUACAUCUGGAGGAUUGGGGAUUCAGCAGUUGAAAGAACAAAACAUUUCUUUCAUGUUAAAAUUGGGGUUUAACAUUUUGACCAAUACUGACUCCUUAUGGGUUCGUGUUAUCAAGUCGAAGUAUAAGGUAGAGGAAAGCUUACCUGUUAUUAUUAAGCAAGGGAAAUGUUCUUUUUUUUUUGGAGAGCUCUUUCAAAGAUCUAGCCCCUCAUUUGAGAAAAUAUUAUUUGGACAAAGGUAAUGACAUCAUAAGAUGUUGGAAGGACAGUUGGAUUCCUGUAGUUGACCCUUUAUUGAAUCAUAUUCCAGCACAAAACAACCUUGAUGAAGACUGUCUCCUUUGAGAUUUAUUUCGUGUUUGGCUUCCGGAUGAGGUCUUCAAUCGUAUUGUUAGUAUUCCUCCCCCACACCCUUCUGUUGGAGUGGAUAGAGUUUCUUGGAUAGGUACCUUAACAGGUUCUUUCUCUAUCAAGAGUGCUUACAAGACGAUCAAGGAAAACUUGUGGAACUUGAAAGAUGAAACUUGGAAAAUAUCAUGGAAGUAUUGAGGGCCUUAGAGGGUUUGGAUGUUCAUUUGGUUAAUCUUAAAACAACGAUUACUUAUGCAAGUAGAGAGACUAAAGUGUGGUAUUAUGAACAAUGAUCAUUGUGUGAUCUAUGGAGCAGUUCCAAAAGAUGUCAAUCAUACUAUUAGAGAUUGUAGUGUAGCAAAAAAGGUUUGGUCGCAGCUUAUUCCAGUAGAAAAGCAAGCUUGGUUUUUUUUCCAGGAAUCUGCAUGAGUGGCUUAUGUUUAAUUUCUUAAAUAGUAAAAAAUUCACCUUCGGAGAGAUUGAUUGGACAACUCUCUUUGGGCUUGUCAUACGUAUUUGGAAGAACGAGAAUUUUCUUAUUUUUCAGGAAGUGCCAUGAAGUGUAGAAGAAAUCAUCAAAGAUUCAUACAGUUGGGCAAAACUGUAUGCAUCUCUUCCCAAGGUUAACUCUAAUAUGAGACAAAAGAUGAGGGUAAAGCUUAACGGGACAGAUAAAUGGAUGAGACUCAGAACUGAUGGUUCAGUUAAAUUAAAAUAAGGUUAUGCUACUGCAGGGGGAUAUUGAGAGACAAUCAUGGGGAGUGGAUCAUUGGCUUUUGUUGACAGUUGGGAAAAUGCUUAAUACUUGAUGCUGAGUUAUGGGGUAUUUUGGAUGAUCUGUCGCUGGUGCAGGAAAGUUAGGUAAGGAAGUGUUGAUACAAACAAACAGUUUGAAAGCUAUUGAAGUUAUCCAAGUUUCGGAAUCAACGACUUCUAUACCGACGAUAAUCAAGCACAUUUACCACCUCUUGAAGAAUGUCGAAAGCUGGGCAUUGGAAUACUUCCCUAGUGAAGAAAACAUAGAACCAAUUCGAAUGACUAAAAUAGAUUUUAAUAGAGAGAAGAAUUGCAAUUGUUUACAAAUAAUCUAUUUAUUUUAGAUUAAUUUGUUGCGUCUUUUCUUCUUUUUCAAAAAAAUAAAAAUAAAAAUAAACAAACAAAUAUAUGUCUGAUUGUCGAAGCUCAAUCCAUUUUACUCAAUUUUCUAAUUAAUAAAGGUCGCUUUUCCUAUUCUAUCAAAGAGAAAAUCGCUUUUCCUAUUAUAUUUCUACAUAGACCGCUAUGACAUGUUGAAGUGUCGUGUCAAGUUAGUUUAUUUUAGGUAAAAUUUUGUUCCUAGGCCUUGUAAUAUGUAUAAAUUGUAAAUUUAAUCUUUAUAUUUUUUAAUUAGUUCAAAUUUACUUCUUGUACUUUUUGAAUUUAGAAUACCAAUUAAUUCCAUUUGGUUAAGUUCUGCUAUUAGUUCUAUACUAUGUAUAAAGUUGUAAAUUAAUUUAUAUUCUUCAAUUUGAUCAAUUUUAAUCUCUAUGCUUUACAAAUUUUGAAAUUUUAAUAACACAAAACAAUAAUCAUUAAUCCAUUAAUUAGGUUUUGUUAGUAAUUUGGAAAUAACAUGUUAUAAUAUAUUCUUUAUCUAAAAUUUUGAAAAUAGAAAAACUUAAUUUAAUGAAAUUAAUUACUAAUGUUUGAUCAAUAUUGAAAUUUUGAACUUUGAAAAGUAUAAAACUAAAAAUAUCAACUUAUUGUUAAAAAAAUAUCAAAUUAAACUGUAGGACUUAAAUCCUUAUCAUAUACAUAGUAGAGGGACUAAGAGAAAAAUUUGACCCUAAACAUUAAACAAAAAAAAUUCAUUUAAUUUAUUUUUCAUUUUUGUACAUAACAGAAAAAAAAUCAAAGUUUCAAGUUAUUGUUUCCUUUUGCUCCCAGUUAUUUUUCUUCUCUCUUUACUCAUUUGGUAUUUUUUCCAUCGCCAUGAAGAUUGUAAAAACCUGAUACCCAAAGGAGAAUAUGGCGGAGAAGCAGCUAAUCGUGGCCGUUGAAGGCACUGCGGCCAUGGGUCCCUACUGGCAUAUCGUCGUCUCUGAUUACCUCGACAAGAUCAUCAGGUCUCGACCUCUUUCCUUAAAUUUACCAUUUCCAUUACUCGAUUUGGUUUUUUAGUUUAAUUCUAUUGUUACAAUCGAUGGGAAUGUUGCAAAUGUUGAUAGAAAAAGAAAUAGUUUUUGAACUUCCGUUAUUGUAUGUCAAUAUAUUUGUUAGUCUUUGCGGAAAACUCUUGUCUAAAUUUAAAGAUGACCCUUUUUCUUAUUUAUGUUAUGCGCUUCGCAUUUUCGUUUUCUUUUUAUGGCCACAUUUGCGGAAACCUCGCUUACAAUCUAGAGAGUAGUUUUUAUUUUUUUUAUUUUUUAUAUGAUCAUUGAGCUGUUUUUCCCGUUGGGUAAUAGUGUUUGUUGUAUAAUGUUUCUUUCUGCUUUGAGUUACACUCUUCUUUUAAUCUGCUGUGAAUUUAAUGGAAUUUCCUCGUUUGAUAAAUGUACAUCAUAAAAUUUAAUUGUUGUGUUUUGCUUGUGUGCUUGAAUGAGAAUGUUUGCUUCAGCUUCAGUUUCAAUUAAGUGGUUUGGUUCAUAGGGGUGAACCAGGCUCUGUUUCUCUUUACCCUGCAUUGUGUUUAUGGCUGUUAACCUUUGUUAACUAUUUGUGUGAAUAUAUAUUUUAUGUAUGUUUGCCAUCUCUUAUAGAUUGUGGUAAUCCUGCAGGUGUUUCUGUAGUAGUGAGUUGACGGGGCAGGUAAAAGGGCUUUUCUCCUCAAUCUUUCUUCCAUUCUGAUGAGCUACUUCUCUAAAUCUAUGGUCACCAUUGGGUUUUACAGCAUUAACUGUUACUAUGCUGUUGAGGUUUCAGCCUGUUACUACUGGGUACAUGAUAUAAGAUGACAAGUUGAAUAUUUAUUGUAUAUAAUCUAGCAAAAGACUAUCAAUUUUGACCAUUGCAUUAACAACUAAAGGAUUGUUAGACAAUGAUUAUGGGCAAUCCAGUGAAGGCCUCUGAAUUCACCUGAGGGAAUUAGUUUUUAUUUGUGUGAAUUUAAGAAGCCAUUUAAAUUUCAAUUUUUUUCUCCAGUCAGUUUAAGAUAUCUGGUUUGCUUAGUAGUGAUUCUAUAUGUAAAUACAUUAAUUCUGUUGACUUGUUUAAAUACAGAAGAACUCUACAUCUAAUGUUGAGUUUUCAUUGGUCACAUUCUACACUCAUGGAUCAUAUUGUGGUAUGCUGUUUGCUCUAUUUGUUUCAACCUCAAGUGGGUUAUUAGUAGCGAAACUAAAUUAUUUGGAAACUGUGAGCUAUAUGCAGCUUGCCUUGUACAGCGUAGUGGGUGGACAAAAGAUGUUGAUAUUUUCUUACAAUGGCUGUCGGCUAUACCUUUUUCUGGUGGUGGUUUCAAUGAUGCUGCAAUUGCCGAAGGGCUGUCUGAAGCACUGAUGGUAUGGAGAGUCAUGCGAUUUUAAAUAUUUAACUUCAUUUGUUUUAUGCUUUCCGAAUGAUAACUACUUUACAAGUCUUCUUUUUUGGUUCAUUUAUAUUUGUCUCCUUAAAUUAGAUGCUUCUUCUAACAAGUUAGGCACGUUAUACCUCAUUGAUUUUCUCAAGAUUUAAAUUUGACCCAAAAGUCGUUUUGCUUGAAGAUAUUAUUUUACUGUGAGGAUUCUCUAUAACUCGCAUAUUGUUACAAAUACCUUCAAAUUUUUAGGAGAUAUAGGCCAUAAACCCCUCAUUACUGUUUCCAUUUCAACAGCAAAGAGGGAAGAAAAUGCAUGGUGGAUGUUGCAUAAUAUUAUCCUGUCACGGAACCAUGAUACGCCAGUUUAAUGUAUUUCAGAAGUCCGUGAUUUAAAAUUUUAGGUUUUUAUGCAUUGCUUUAUGAUAAGUGAAAUGCAUUUGCUUCUCAAAACAUAGACUAGAAGAGAUGGCAACUAGAAGUAGAAACUAUUUGGGUAAAUUGCAUCAAGCAUCCUUAACCUAUUAAGUGGGUUAAAUUAUCUGACUUUUAUAUUGUUUCAAUUGAAUCCUCAAUUUUAUUAAAAAUGCUAUCAAUAUGGUCCUUCUAUCUGUUAAAUCAAUUAAAAUUGGCAAAUUUUGUCUAUGUAUGGCUGAUAUCUUAGUACAUUUCACAUGACAUUUAUUCUUUUUCAUCUGAUGUGCUGCUCAGAUGUUUCCUAUUGCUUCAAAUGGAAACCAAACACCACAAAAUGUGGAUGGGCAGAGACAUUGCAUUCUUGUUGCUGCCAGUAAUCCCUAUCCCUUGCCUACACCAGUCUAUAGACCACAAAUUCAAAUUUUGGAGCAAGUCGAAAAUUCUGAAGCCCAGACAGAGAGUUGUCUGUCUGAUGCUGAAACAGUAGCUAGAUCAUUUGCUCAGGUAGGUCAACACCAUUUUGCUUCUCUUGUCCACUACUUCCAGUUUGCCUUUCUAGGAGGAGGUUAACUGACCUUUAGUUUUCAUUGCAGUGUUCUGUUUCUUUAUCUGUGAUAUGUCUGAAGCAGCUUGCAAAGCUAAAAGCAAUCUACAGUGCUGUAAGGAUUAUACCUAUAACAUUUCUAAUUCCGUUUCUCUUGCAACUUGUUUGGGUGUUUUCUCUCUAGCAUUAGAUGUACUGGCUAUGUCUUGCAACACCUACUAGUCUCCUCUCUUGAACAUUUGGUAAAAGUAUUUUUAAGGGAUGUCUGCUAUGUAACCUGCUUGCUGAUGGUGAUGGUUCCAUCGCACUUUAUGGAAUUUGUUCCUUAUAAAUAUGAUGCGCUAUCUAAAGAAAGGAUGAGCUUUGGAAGAAUAAACAUCUGGAAAGCUAUUUAAUUAGUAGAUUUUUGCUACAGUUUAUCCUAGAUUCUGUUUUCUUUGCUUAGCCACUAAUAUUCUCUGCUUGCUAAAAGCUAAGUAUUCUGACUGCAUUUUCACAAAUACAGGGAAAGCGGAACCCCCGAGCAGCAGAUCCACCUGUUGAUAAUGUUAAAAACUCUCAGUUUCUUGUUCUGAUUUCAGAGAACUUUAUGGAGGGCCGUGCUGCUUUAAGUCGCUCUGGAGUUCCAAGUUUGGCAACCAAUCAGAGUCCUGUGAAAAUGGACAUGACUUCUGUCACUUCAGUUACGGGACCAUCUCCAUCAUCAGGUGGUUUAUGCAGAAUCUGUUGAUCCCUUCUGUAGAAUGCUGCUUUUAACUGGAUACUGAUCGUUGCAUGUGACUGACUAAUUUGUGUGCUUAUUCAUAUUCAUGGCUCUGCUCUAUUAAGCACAUUAGCAAAUAGAAAAGCUGGGAACUAAUGUGCAUUAUGCUAGAUGCUAAGCCUUUCCACUUGUAACCUUGAUUUUCAUAUCUUAGUUCUGUCAGGUCUGACUUCAUUAUGCUAGAUUCUUGAGAUCUUCUUUUCAGUUUUCAUCACUAAAGAAGGCUUCUUAGUGAUUACCUUGUAACAUAAGCUCUUUGCCUCUUAUUGAUUGAUAUGUUUCUUCUUCAGCAUCAAAGAAGUAAAAGAACAAUUAUCUAAAAAGCCUAGACAUAUCCCUUUCCAUUGCAGAAUUUAAUAAUGGAAACAAAAGACCUGUUCUGCAUCUGUUAACUUGCUGUGCGCCUCAUUCAUUUAUUAAUUUUAGUCUGUAGAUAGUACAGUAGAUACAGAUUCACACACCACUUAGGAAAAUAAAAAUUGAGCAUUGGAGAAAUAAACAGAUUUGACUUGCUGUGAAGUUGUUAUUUAUGCUGUGACCAAUUCUUGCGUAAGACUUUCUUUUUAUCUCUUUUUUAGUGAAUGGAUCUAUGGUGGGCAAGCUACCUGUUUCUGUUGGAAAUGUUGCCACUGCUACUGUAAAAGUUGUAAGUCCCAUUUACUUUAGUUAAUGAAAAGUUGUUUCUGUGUUAUUUGGAUAUUUAAGCAUAUUUUAUUAUUCAGGAGCCCACAACGAUAACAUCCAUGGCAACUGGACCUGCUUUUUCACAUGUUCCCUCUGUUCCACGAGUGCCUUCUCAAGCAAUCCCGACCUUGCAAACCUCUUCGCCAUUGACAAAUACACAGGAGGGCAUGACAAGUGGUGACAACAUGCAAGAACUAAAACCUUCUGUAAGUGGCAUGACACAACCUUCACGUCCUGUGCCUCCAGCUGCUGCAAAUGUGAACAUACUAAACAAUCUUUCUCAAGCACGGGUUAUGAGCUCUGCUGCUCUCACUGGAGGAACUUCUAUAGGACUUCAAUCAAUGGGUCAAACACCAGUGGCCAUGCAUAUGUCCAAUAUGAUAUCUAGUGGAAUGGCAUCCUCUGUGCCUCCAGCUCAUGCUGUAUUAUCAUCUGGGCAACCGACUAUGACUUCAUUAACUGGCUCAGGAGCUCUUACAGGGACUGCACAGGUCCCACCAAACUCAGGUCUUAGUACAUGAUACGAUUCACAAAAGCCCAAAUUCUUGAAGGCGAGGCCCAAUAAGCAAAUUCCCAGCCCAAUCAAGAAAUCCAUCCAUACUUAGUUGAAAAUCAGGCCAAAUUGUCAAAGUGGCCCAAGUUGUAAAGUUUUAUUUUUAUUUAUUUAUUUAUUUAUUUACUUAGUUUAAAUUUUUAUGUCAAUAUUCAGUCCAAGAGUCCUAGAUAAAAUGACUUUUGACCGAAUUUUCAUAUUAAAAUAAUUAGGAGUUUUUUUUAUUUUAGUUUUCUAAUUAGAUUAGGACUAGUUAUAAGGCCUAUUUAAAGGCAUGGCUGUCCACCUUGUUAAACACUUAUCAUUAUUAUUAAAAUUUCAGAUUUGUUGAGAGCAGAAUUUUCUUUGAGUUUUCUCCAAGAUUUUUCUCUUGAGUUUUCUUUAGAAGUUGUUUUAACAAUCUUGUGAUUGUGGGAGCCAUCUUCAACCUUCUUCUUGCCAUUGAUAUUCUUUGGAGGGGAGAUUAGAGCCGUUUGAAGGGAGUUGUGAGAUCUUUCGGGAUUUCAAGGCUUCUUAGGACUUAUCUUUUAAUUUCUUACUGUCAAUUCUUUCUUUAUUUCUACUUGUGCUGAAUCAUUAUCUAAUCUAUUUUCUGUUCUUAUUGUGUUUUCAGCCUUUUUCUAUCUUAAGGAAUCAGCCCAAAAAUCCCCAAUUUCUAGGGUUUUUCCAUACUCUUUUUGGGUGAAAUUAGAUUGUCGAAAUUUGGGGAAAACUAUCUUGGUGUUCAAUUGGGCAGAAUCACAAUCUCCUUAAGGGUUUCAAGAACCCUAACACUUAUUUCUAUUCUCAAUUUGAUUCUUUGCUGAUUUGGAGAUUUUAUUUCAAAUUUGAAAAUUCAAAAAUCUAAUCUUUUAAUUUUCUGUUUCGUUUCAGAUCUAAUUGUUUAGGGUUUUCGUAGGAGUUUCUCGUGACUUGGCAACUCGAUCUUGGUCCGCGCGCAACCCCGUAUCAUUUGGUAUCAGAUUUUGGGCGUUUUGGGUGUUCUUGGUUGAUUUCUAAACUGAUCUCUAUUUUUUAAAGCAUAAACAGUAGUUUUACCCAGAAAAAUUGUUCAAAAAAAAUUCAUUUGAGUGGGUAAACGUUGUUCGAUUGAUCUGAAAUUUUACAUACAUGUUUUUGGCACUGUGAUUGAAUAUAAAAAAAUUAUUCCCGCAAAAAAAUCAGUCAAAAAGUCAAAAAAAUCAAAAAAGACAAAAUUCAAUAAAAAUUAAAAAAAAAGAUUCAGCGGGUUGAAUUUGGUGCCCAAAAUUUCCAGAUCAAAAAUUCAAUAUAUAAGGACACUCCAGAUUUAAUUUCGUGAUUUUUGGAGAUCGGGAACACCUCGAACGAAGUUGUCAAGUUACUCCGCAGUUUUUCGGGUUUUCUGUUUUCAACAAUUUUUAUUGAUUCUUAGCUGUAGGUUUUCAUUUGUUUACCUUUAUUCUUCAUUUACGUUAUCUAACACCUUCUUGUUUCUUGUGUUAGUAGGAUUUAAACGUGUGCACAACUUCUUCCUCGGUGCAACACGAAUCAAUUGGUGUCUCGUCAGUUUUUGGCAUCCUAGUGCAAAUUAGGAUUCUUUGGUAGUUUGGUUCACACUCUCUAAUUGGUUGAUAUAAACUCUGAUAAAGAACUCACAAGAUUGAAUUCGACCUCAUUGAGAAUUUGAUUUUUCUUUUUGAGUGAUUAACGGUGAGGUUUGAUAACUUUUAUUUUUGAGUGUUGAGUGUUUUGCAGGUUUUAAAAAAAAAUGUCUACAGGUGAUAAUACUAGUGACAUAUUUAAAAAAUUCCAACAACAGUUGGACGAACAGGCUGCUGCACUUCGAGCGUUGACUGCUACUAUCAAUGAGGUGCGGUUGAAUCAAGAGCCUCAAUAUCGAGAUCAAAUUAAAGACGAUGUGGAUAACCAGCCUCCUGCUCAUAGGCGCGCUCCUCGGCGUGUCCCUAGAACUGAUUAUGAUCUUCAUGAUCGUGGACAACCCUCUUUGGCAAAACCAAAGAGCGAGCAGCAACGAGAACAUCUCUUUCAUACUCGCUGCCAUGUACAAGGUAAGCUUUGUAGAGUUAUUAUUGAUGGUGAAAGUUGCUCGAACGUAGCCAGCACGACGAUGGUGGAAAAGCUUUGCUUAACCACUACCAAGCAUCCACGACCUUAUCAACUACAAGGGCUUAGCAACGAAAGCCAAUUUAAGGUCACUCAACAAGUGCGCAUCGCCUUUUCUAUCGGUAAAUAUCAAGACGAAGUCGUGUGCGACGUAGUACCUAUUCAAGCCUAUCAUUUAUUGCUAGGAGAACCAUGGCAACUGGAUCGAAAAGUCACUCACGAUGGUCGUACCAAUAGGUAUUCUUUCAAGCAUCAAGGAAAGAAACUUACCUUAGUGCCGCUCACUCCGGAACAAGUCCAUGAGGACCACAUCAAACUGAGAAAUUCUGUUAAAACAAGUGAGGAAAAAGAAAAAAAGAAUGAAAAAGAGCAAAAAGAGAUUGAGAGUGAAAAGGAAUGUGAAACAGAAAAGAAAUUUGAAAAAGAAGUUGAAGAAAGAAGAGAAAAUGAGUUAGAAAAAGAAACAAAAGAAAAAGACGAGGAAAGGCUAGUGAGGAAUGUUUCCACUAACCAAGAUAUGAAUUUUUCUUGUGUUGCUACUUUUCAGGUUCCUGAAAGAUCGAAAGAUAACUUUCAACUUCAAUACCUCUCAAAUGAAAGACGCUUUCAUACGAUCAACUUAGGCAAAGAUGAAAUCACACUACAUGAUCCCGAAGGUAAGCAAGGUAAGGAAAUUUUAGAAACCGAGUCCAGUGCAGAUUUGAAAAUUAUUGAUAAAACUUUUGGUGACUUAGUUCUUAAAAGAUCCCCUCAUUUUGAUCCGAUUAAUUGUUACUCUUCGAUUGUGGUUGAUAAAGUCAUUACGAAAAGAAGCGUGAUUUGUUAUUCUCUUGAUUUACCUUGUGUAAAAUCCUCGAAUUUGUCCAAAUCUAUUUUGGAGAAUAAGGUAACGAAAUUUUCCAAAUUUGUUUUCAAUUUAUAUUCGUGUCUUAAACAGUUUAUGUGGUUGUACAUGAAGUUUGAGUUCCAUUUGACAAAGGUUAACUCAACAACGGAGAUUCGACUACACUAUGCCCCCGAUGAGCGAAGGUUUGUUUUAAAUGAAAAAGGUAAAAUCAACCCUUAUUCUUCUGCUUAUCGAGGUAAGAUGCUUGAAACCUUUGAAACACUUUUGUACUCCUCGGAUAGUGAUAAAGAUCGUGUUGAUGAACACUUAGAUCGAAACGUGCUUGACUGUCCUAUUUUAUUUAUUCUAUCUGUUUUGAUGGUUGAUAAAAAGAUUCUUGUUUUUGAUAAUGCAUGUGUGAGUGAAUCUAUAGACCGUCGAUUAAUGCAUGGUAUGAUUAUGCAACUCUGUGAACCAUGUGAAUCUUUUCAAAUACCUACUUGUGACGAUUAUGUUUACCAUUUGAUUUAUUACUCGCAAUUUAUUCAUGGUUUGUGGGAACAAUGUGAGACGACUGAAUGCCUUAAAACAUGUCCAUCUUUGUUUCAAAUAUUUGACGAGGCAGUGGUGAGUAAAUUAGAUUGUUUGCAUGGUAAUCUGAAUCUGUCCAUUCACAUGCGUUAUACCUGUUCUGUUAUGCUUAUGAUUGGACUACAAGCUUGUUUCCGUUGCUAUUUACUAUCUCAUGGCUAUUCUUUUCAGUGGACUCAAUUGCCAUUAGUCCCGUUCGAUAGAGGAAAGUCGAGUUCAUUUGAUUUUUCAGAUUCGAGGACGAAUCUUUUUGAGGAAGGGGGGAAUGAUACGAUUCACAAAAGCCCAAAUUCUUGAAGGCGAGGCCCAAUAAGCAAAUUCCCAGCCCAAUCAAGAAAUCCAUCCAUACUUAGUUGAAAAUCAGGCCAAAUUGUCAAAGUGGCCCAAGUUGUAAAGUUUUAUUUUUAUUUAUUUAUUUAUUUAUUUACUUAGUUUAAAUUUUUAUGUCAAUAUUCAGUCCAAGAGUCCUAGAUAAAAUGACUUUUGACCGAAUUUCCAUAUUAAAAUAAUUAGGAGUUUUUUUUAUUUUAGUUUUCUAAUUAGAUUAGGACUAGUUAUAAGGCCUAUUUAAAGGCAUGGCUGUCCACCUUGUUAAACACUUAUCAUUAUUAUUAAAAUUUCAGAUUUGUUGAGAGCAGAAUUUUCUUUGAGUUUUCUCCAAGAUUUUUCUCUUGAGUUUUCUUUAGAAGUUGUUUUAACAAUCUUGUGAUUGUGGGAGCCAUCUUCAACCUUCUUCUUGCCAUUGAUAUUUUUUGGAGGGGAGAUUAGAACCGUUUGAAGGGAGUUGUGAGAUCUUUCGGGAUUUCAAGGCUUCUUAGGACUUAUCUUUUAAUUUCUUACUGUCAAUUCUUUCUUUAUUUCUACUUGUGCUGAAUCAUUAUCUAAUCUAUUUUCUGUUCUUAUUGUGUUUUCAGCCUUUUUCUAUCUUAAGGAAUCAGCCCAAAAAUCCCCAAUUUCUAGGGUUUUUCCAUACUCUUUUUGGGUGAAAUUAGAUUGUCGAAAUUUGGGGAAAACUAUCUUGGUGUUCAAUUGGGCAGAAUCACAAUCUCCUUAAGGGUUUCAAGAACCCUAACACUUAUUUCUAUUCUCAAUUUGAUUCUUUGCUGAUUUGGAGAUUUUAUUUCAAAUCUGAAAAUUCAAAAAUCUAAUCUUUUAAUUUUCUGUUUCGUUUCAGAUCUAAUUGUUUAGGGUUUUCGUAGGAGUUUCUCGUGACUUGGCAACUCGAUCUUGGUCCGCGCGCAACCCCGUAUCAGUACAUUUUCUUCUGCAAGUUCAAAUGUGGCUGGGAAUUCAAACAUUGGAAUUUCACAACCAACGGGCAAUGUUCAAGGAGCAGUGAAUAUAGGCCAAUCAGUACCUGGCAUGAGCCAAGGAAACCAUUCAGGUACCCAAAUGAUGCAAAGUGGAGUUGGCAUGAGCCAGAACAUGAGUGCCCUUGGUCAAUCAACUGUCUCUUCUGGAAAUGGCACAAUGAUUCCUACUCCAGGCAUGUCUCAACAAGUACAGUCUGGAAUGCAGACACUUGGAGUGAGCAACAGUUCAGCUGCUAGUAUGCCACUAUCACAACAGACGUCAAGUGCUUUGCAAUCAGCACAAUCCAAAUAUGUUAAAGUCUGGGAGGUAAUCUAGUGCAUGAUUUUAGACGAUAGUGAUGAUAAAUAUAUGGACCUCCUUGCAUUGAGUAAAUGUAGAAACUUCUGGGUGAAUUCCUUCUAAACUUUAGUGGCAGUUCAUUUUUUUAAUUAUUUUUAUACGUAUAUCAUGGUAGAAGGUACUUUAAUACUUUCGGCUCUUUCAUUCUUGUGUGAUUAUAGAUCUCCCAAUAAACCAUAUUUCCUGAGAGCUAUUCUUUUGCUUGGGGGAGACAUGCUGUGUACAAUCUCUUAGGAACAAUCUUGCUUGAAAUUUGCCGUUAUAUCACUUAUUUUCCCUAUAAUCUUCUGGUCCCUUCUUGGAUCAACUGGGGGUACUCUCAUUCAUGACGAGUAGAAUUUCUUGUUGAAGGAAGAGGAAUUGGAAUGUUGAUGCUUCUGUGAAAUCAUUCCAUGCUUUGCAAUUUACUUGAGGGGCCCUGUGCACCUUUAUUGUCUCCCCAUAAAACACUGCCUUCACCUAAAUUAGUAAUAAAAAUAGAGGUUUUGUUGGUUCCGAAAAAGUAGUGCCUGAGAAGGUGAGCAAGAUAAUAAAACCUGUAAUGCUUCUGGCUUCAGUUUUCUCCUUGUAUAUCUUUCUUUUCUCGUUAAUUCCUUGAAAUAUUGUUGGUGAUAUGUAUGUGUAUAAUAAAUAUUUUUGUAUUAUUUGCCGCUUUAUUUGUUGUAUAUUUUCUUGUGGCACGUCUAAUUCUCUUGAAUGAUCAAUAAAUUCAGGGAAAUUUAUCUGGCCAGAGACAAGGGCAGCCGGUCUUUAUCACCAGAUUGGAAGUAUGUUUACGAACAUCUGUUGAUGAUGUUACUUCAAAUACAGCACACUUCCUUUUUUUCUUUUUUCUUUUUUUUUUGAUUCUUUUUAAUGCCUUGCGUAAUCUGCUUCAACCAUGCUUUUGACUUCGGAGCUAUUUGUUGCAGGGUUAUCGGAGUGCCUCAGCUUCUGAGACGUAAGUCAAUGGUUAAUGUGUAACUUCUUUUUCUCUUUUUCAGUCCCUAGUGGGGAUAAUAUAAUGAUAAAAAUACUCAUUCUAUUUCUUUUAGACGUGGCUUUCAUUUUUCUUACAGGAUUUUAGGUUCUUUGAUGACUCUAUUAUUUUUAUAUAUAUUUAAAGCCAAUCUAGGUUAAUAGAACGUAAGGAUUCUGGUUUUGUUGCUUCAGACUUGCAGCACAUUGGCCACAAACCAUGCAAAUAGUUCGUCUUAUAUCUCAGGAUCACAUGAAUAACAAGUAAGUUCUAGUUUGUGAAAACAUUGUCCUUUAUCUUUCAAUUUUCUCAAUAAUUUUGUUUUAUUCAACAUCAGGCAAUAUGUUGGGAAGGCAGAUUUUUUAGUUUUCAGGGCAAUGAAUCAGCAUGGAUUUCUUGGACAGCUACAAGAGAAGAAGCUUGUAAGUGGUUGAGGAUAAUUUUACAUUUGAAGCAAUGCUGAAUUUCAAUUUGAAUGUCUUCCAGGACUCAUGUAGACCCCCAAAUAAGCAAACUUACUGCUCAGAUUCUUGUUGAUGUUUACAGCUGAAGCUUGAGACUUUGUAAUUGUAUCUGUAUCUCCUGGAGUGUUUCUAGGAGCCAUGUCAAGCUUUGAAUUUCUCUAAAUUAUCCUAUCAAUCAUUUUUAAUUUGAAAUUGCGGAUUAUUCUGACCCAAUUUCCCACUUCUCAUUCCUGCAGUGUGCUGUAAUUCAGUUGCCACAACAGACAUUGCUGCUUUCAGUUUCUGACAAAGCCUGCCGCUUGAUAGGAAUGCUUUUCCCUGGGGUGAGAAUGUUUUAACUUUGAGUCCAAGCUUUAGUUUGUCAUGUGUGGAUUAUUAUUGUUAUAUUCUGGUGCCUUUUCUAAUCUGAAUAACAAUAACCUGUACUUAUUCCCAGCUACACAGUUCCAACACGCCACCAGGCCUCCACCCCUCUCUAGACAAACCAAAAAAAUUAAACGAAAUGGUAAAAACUGCAAACUAGAUGAGUAGCCUGUAGCUUUAUAUGAAUUUUCUGUAGCCUCCAUUUACUUCUUGCUUUUGCUUACAAUGCAAAAUGAAAUUUGAUUAACAUGUAAUCACUGAAAUGCUAUACUGGUCGUAACAUAUCUAUUUUAUAUGAAAGUAAUACUUUUUAGUUUUCCAAAAAAAGGGAACAAUGCCACUCAUCCAAAAAUAUUACUUGCUUUUUGCUCCAAGAUUGAAAAGAAAAUAGUGAAAUCAGCAAUGACAUGGACUCUUAAUUUUGUUCUUUCAUUACCUUAUUGCUUUAGAUUUAUUUGAACUAAGCUCUUUAUGGAGUCAGGAUAUGGUUGUCUUUAAACCACAAAUGUCCAGCCAACAACAGCUGCAAUUGCAGCAGCAGCAGCAGCAGAUGCAGCCCCAGUUACAGCAGCAGCAACAGCAGAAUUCACAACUGCAACAGCAGCAGAAUCCACAGCUGCAACAACAGCAGCUUCCGCACUUGCAGCAGCAGCAACUCCCUCAGCUACAACAAAAGCAGCAGCAGCAGCUACCACAGCUGCAACAGCAGCAGCUUUCCCAGCUGCAGCAGCAACAACAACAACAGCAGCAGCAGCAGCAACUGCAGCAACAGUCGCAACACCCUCAGAUGCAGCAACAACAAAUGGUUGGUUCAGGAAUGGGUCCUGCUUACGUUCAAGGUCCAGGACGAUUACAAUUAGUUUCUCAGGGGCAAGUUCCAUCACAGGCCCCACCUAAUAUGCCAGGAGGGGGAUUUAUGAGUUAAAUCAGCAACACCUUGGAAUCUACUGGCCUAAUUAGAAAUAACUAGUCUUUAUCAGUGACUUUAGUGGCUAAGCAUGAGGAGAAAGUCAUGUAGUAUCAUCUGGGAUGAAGUAAUUUUUUUAUGUACUGAUGAUAACGUCUAACAUGGUACAUUCAUAAUGUGCCAUCAUUCAUGUUUCUAAAGUAACUAAUGAGGUGGGAGGAAGCAAGGGUUUUGCUGAUGAAUUUCAUUACUUGUAUUUCAAAGAGAUUUGCUGGUACGGAAUUUCGAUAUAAAAGUUAAUUCCUCUUCAUCUUAUCAUGCAAACCUGUGUGAACUAGUUAAUAAUAUAAGGCUAGGCUACAUUAAUUCAUUUUGUAUAGGAUCCGAUUUUGAAUGUCAUGCAGUAACUAAGCCAUCAGUUGUUUUGAUGAUGGAUUUUGGAAUGCCAACUUUCAUGGAUUAUAGUAGAAAUGCUUAGUAUCAAUCCAUGCUCAAGUCUCUGAUGUUUACUCUUGGCACACCUUGAACAUAAAAGUGGUAAAAAAACCAUAGCAUUCAAGAAUUUGUAAUCACAACAGCACAUCACUAAAAGCUUUAUCCCAUCCUCUGAGAAGAGAACAGAAUUGAAACAGCAUACCUUUUGUGAUACGAGUCUCAAAGGCCCAACCCCAGCCUAAACAAGAAGACAAACUAUGCUUACUUGAAAAUCAGGCUAAAUUGUCAAAGUGACCCAAUUUGUAAAGUUUUAUUUUUUUUAAAUACUUAGUUUAAAUUUUUAUGUAAAUAUUCAGUCCAAGAGGCCCAAUUAAAAGCCCUUGGUCGAAUUUCGAUUUAAAAUUAAAAUAAUUAGGAGUUUGUUUAGUUUUAGUUUUCUAAUUAGAUUAGGAAAAUAUUUGAAAAGCCUAUAUAAACGCUUGGCCAGCCACCGUGUUAGAUACUUCUCAAUUAUAUCAAAAAUUUUAGAUUUGUUUAAGUGCAGAAUUCUCUUUGAGUUUUUUCUCCAAGAAUUCUCUCUUGGGUUUUCUUUAGAAGUUGUUUUAACAAUCUUUUGAUUGUGGGAGCCAUCUUCAGCCUUCUUCUUGCCAUUGAUAUUCUUUGGAGGGGAGAUUAGAGUCGUUUGAAGGGAGUUGUGAGAUCUUUCGGGAUUUCAAGACUUCUUAGGACUUUUCUUUUAUUUGCUUGCUGUCAAUUUCUUUUCUUUAUUUCUGCUUGUGCCGAAUCUUUAUCUAAUUUAUUUGCGGUUCUUAUUGUGUUUCCAGCCUUUUUCUAUCUUAAAGAAUCGGCCAAAAAGCCCCAAUUUCUAGGGUUCUUGCUGAUUCAUUCAUACUCUUUUUGGGUGAAAUUAGAUUGCCGAAAUUUGGGGAAAACUAUCUUGGUGUUCAAUUGGGCAGAAUCGCAAUCUCCUUUAGGGUUUCAAGAACCCUUAUUAACACUUAUUUCUAUUCUCAAUUUGAUUCUUUGCUGAUUUGGGAAUUUUAUUUCAGAUCUGGAAAUUUAAAGUUCUAAUCUUUUAAUUUUCUGUUUCGUUUCAGAUCUGAUUGUUUAGAGCUUUCGUAGGAGUUUUCCGUGACUUGGCAACUCGAUCUUGGUCCACGCGCAACCCCCGUAUCAUCUUUUGUCUCUCUAUAUUAAUGUUUAAAGUUUAAAAGCCCCCUCCACACAAGGUGGGGAAAAACAAAAGGUCAAUGUCCACUGAGGUAGACACUGAAUAAGAAGCCAGAAAGCUUAAACCAAGGAAUCAGACCAGCCUAUAUGAGCAAAAAGCAACUUCCCUGUAGAUUGAACCAUUAGAAAAGAUCUAGUCUAGAUAAAUUUGGAGCACUAUGAUGUCAAAAUGACGACAAUGUUAAAUGAAAGAUUAGUGAAAAUAUUUAUGUUAUCAUUGUAAUUUUGUUUGCAUUCAGCUUUUGGCCUCCAAUGGAAGAAGGGGGGGGGGAGUGGGGACACCUCAAAAUAAAGACAGUGACCCGUACCAAACUUUCCCAUAAACAAGCAGCCUCCUUGCUUUAAUCAUUAUUUCAGAACCUAUGGCCUUAAUUUCUACCAUAAAGCUACAUAGAAAGAAUGUAUAAUGAUUUUGGGAUUGAUCCAAAGCACCAACAAAUAAAACUUCCCGUCAUUGGCUUAGGGUCCCAAAGCUCGUAAAAAAUUCAGAAAAGCCAACAAUGUCCUUUUGCUAAAGUAUAGGAAGUUUCUAGUAGGGCUUCGUGUUGCUACUUGCCAGCCAUUAAAAGUCCUUUUAUUCCUUAACUUGCAUCAUGGUGGAGUAGAACAUUUCAGUAUCUGUCGCCAUAAGUCCAAAGCUGUCACUUCUCAUUCCUUGGGAUCUCUAACCUUAUUUGUUUUUGUUAUGAGAUACCUUGUUAAGUUAACCACUUUGAUCGGAUAAAAGAAAACUCCCCAUCUGAUGUUAUUUAUUAUAUGCUUACUACGCAAACCAAACUUUUUAUUACCUCCGUCAUAAUUUUAUUAUCAACUCUCCACGAUGUGGUGAAAUUACAUUUUAUCAUAUCUAUGACACUAUCACCAACCCCAAGUAGUAGGAGGUGUGUUCAAGGAUCCUCAUCCUCAUAAGUCUUUAAGACUCUACUUCACAUACUAAUGUUGUGUCAAAUUCUUAUCAGAACCUUCCAUUUUCUUCCAAACUCUCCGGAACCAUUGCUAGCAACUCUCUACACACUAUAUGAACCGUUUCCAACCUCCAACAUCACAUAUUAUAUCAACAUAUACAUACUUUUGAAAACAAAAGAAAUUAAGAAUCAGAGUUUGAAAAUUUCUUUCCAAUAUGAAAAUGCUAGAACCACUUGCUUAUUAUCAAAAUAGAAUUUAUUUGGUAUUAUAUGACUGUGGAACUUGCAUAUGAAUCAUAUCAUUCUAUUGUAAUCAUUUGAUAAAUUGUGACUCCAGUAAAACCAAGGAUCCUGUUAGUUUCCCAUUCAUAUUUUCCCAACUAAUUAAUUAUUUUUGGAGAGUGCUAAAUACACAUAAAUUGUAUGCAUCGGUUUUUCCUUCAAUUUUAUUAGGGGUUUUUAAGGGCAUGUAGGAGAGGGUCUUGAGAGAUGGAAAAAGAUAUUCGUUUCAAAAAAGGAAAAGGGUUAAAUAAAGUAAACAAUUGCGUUACUUUGUUAUAAGAUUAAGAUGCUGUUUUUAACAAGUUGGGAUAAAAGGUUUUGAGGGAAAUGGUAGAAGAAAUAUCACAAAAAGAGAAAAAGAGCUAACCAAAGUAAAUGGGAUGUCAUUUUCUUAACUUUAUUCCAUGAAGCAAAGUAAAUCAUGUAUCACUAACAAGUCCCAAGUCCUCUACUUAAACAGAUGGUGACGAUGACCCAACUCCUUACAUUCAGGAGAUACCUCAAUCUUCCAAUUCAAUACUUUUUGCAAAAAAUGGUUUCAACAUCCCCUCCAAAGGUGAGAACAUGAUGAGUUAGCUUGUAUUUCCUGGCCAAUGGCCAACACCAAUUGACUAUUUUUCCUUUUUGAUUCUAACAGGAAGUUCAAUCCAUCGGGAAAUGGGCAGAAGGCGAUCCUACUCGCAGAGCCAAAUGGUGGUACUCCACUUUUCACACUGUCACGGCCAUGAUAGGUGCAGGUGUCCUCAGCUUGCCCUAUGCCAUGGCCUAUCUAGGAUGGUAUGCAAUGCUGGAACUUAAAACUCAAUUCAACAAAAAGGCUUAGUUGAGACAAGUUGGGAAAUUUUUUACUAACCUUCUGUUUUCUGAUCUUAGGGGUCCAGGAACAAUGGUUCUGGUAUUAUCAUGGUGCAUGACCUUGAAUACAAUGUGGCAGAUGAUACAACUGCAUGAGUGUGUCCCUGGAACUCGAUUCGAUCGAUACAUUGACCUCGGGCGAUAUGCUUUUGGACCGAAACUCGGAGGAUGGGUAGUGUUGCCUCAGCAGCUGAUUGUUCAAGUUGGAUGUGACAUUGUGUACAUGGUUACAGGAGGGAAGUGCCUCAAAAAGUUCAUGGAGAUUGCCUGCACCAGCUGCACACAGCUCAGGCAGUCCUACUGGAUCUUGAUUUUUGGUGGCACCCAUUUCUUCCUGUCUCAGCUUCCCAAUUUCAAUUCAGUUGCUGCUGUUUCAUUAGCUGCAGCAGUUAUGUCUCUGAGUUAUUCAACCAUAGCCUGGGCAGGUUCCUUGAGUCACGGUCAGAUCAAUGGUGGGAGCUAUGAGUAUAAGAGCACAAGUCCGACUGACUUCAUGUUUCGAGUGUUCAAUGCACUAGGCCAAAUUUCAUUUGCAUUUGCAGGUCAUGCAGUUGCCCUUGAAAUUCAGGCCACAAUUCCAUCAACCCCAGAAAGGCCUUCGAAAAUACCGAUGUGGAAAGGUGCACUUGGAGCCUAUUUCAUAAAUGCUAUAUGCUACUUCCCGGUAGCCAUGAUAGGAUACUGGGCAUUCGGUCAAGAUGUCGAUGAUAAUGUACUUAUGGCACUCAAGAAACCUGCAUGGCUCAUAGCCUCUGCUAACUUGAUGGUGGUUGUUCAUGUCAUUGGAAGCUACCAGGUUUAUGCUAUGCCUGUGUUUGACCUGCUGGAGAACAUGAUGAUCAAAAGGCUCAACUUCCCACCAGGGAUUGCUCUCAGGCUCAUAAGUCGAUCUACUUACGUAGGUGAGGUUUCCUCUAUACGAACCAACUUUACUUACAUGACCAUCCGUAAGUUAUAAAAUGAGUUAGAUAUGUUAGUUAAUUAUAAGAACAAUGGAUAUUGGAUGUUUGCAGCAUUUACCCUGUUCAUAGGAGUCACUUUCCCUUUCUUUGGAGAUCUUCUGGGUUUCUUUGGUGGAUUUGGCUUUGCUCCCACUUCAUAUUUU
rnacentral:lncRNA from 1 species